rnacentral:lncRNA from 1 species
UAAGGCUAUGGUCCCUCAAACUCCAAUAUGUCUUUCAAUUAUUGGAAAAACUUUUUAUUAAAGUAAGUAUAUUCCGCAUUCAGUCCAAAAUCCAUACAACAUAAAGGUACCCAACCUACCAGAAAUGUUUAAGCUUCUAUACAAUGUAGCUAUGCAACAAAAGAAAACAAAAGGAGCAAAAGUCCCAUAGAAGUCCUUGUACAUAUAUCUUAGAUUGCAUUUUCAGUUCCCUAUCCAAAAAAUAUGGGCAUAUUGGACUUUGUUGCUUAGAUAAAGUAGCAAAUUGUCCAUUGAUUAAUUUUUUACGGUUAAAUGCAUAUUUUGAUCUUCUAUAUAUACGGCAUAAUAAUAAAUUUAACUUUUAAUUUUUACACAUUUAUUCAAUUUGACACAAUUUCUUUUGAAGCAAAUUAACCCCCAACUUUUCAUUAAGGAUGUGAUACUAUUGUGUCUUAUUUUUUUAUAUUUUAAAAUAUUCUUUUGUAUUUAUAUAAUUGUUAAAAAAUUUAGAUUAUUUUGGGUAUAAUUAUAUGUGUUGUUGUCUGUUUUACGGUCUAAGACUAAUCUUAUUUAGGUCGAGGAUGAGAAUCACAUAAAGUCCUCACAACAAUGAGGACUCCAGGAUCCAAAUGCCUAAGGCAAAAGUGUAGUAGCCCAAAUUUGACCGGGCUAAAAACAAAAUUGGAUAAAUAAAUAUUUUUUUAUUUAAAAAGUCCAUUACAGUCCAGUUUACAAAGGCCCAAAUACCAAAACCCAGCACCCGCUUACAACCCAAUUAGCCUAAACCUUUGGCCCAAAAUUCAUUAACCCGUUACACCCAGACCCAAACAAGACCCAACCAAAACGAGGCCCAAUGCCUAAACAGAAUCUGGAAACCCUAAGGUUUCCAGAAGCUUCGCGCCGUAAUCACCCCAUCAGUCACGCCUCUUCAACCUCGGUCGUUCCAUCUACCCCCAUCGGCGCCGUGAUUCCAGGCCUCAAAUCUAGCCGUAGUUGAAGACGAAUGAAUGCAAAUCAGCGCCAGCACCUUCGUCAUCAGGGCCUAAUCAUCCUGGCCCACUGAUUUCCUCGCUAGAUACCUGUAAAAGGAAAGAAAGAAAAAACAGCAAACAAGAAAAAACAGAUAUAGAAAGAAAUGAAAAGAUUUCUUCCUAAAUAUGAAACGUGGCUAUAAAAGCCUCCUUUGUAACCUGUUUAAAGGGGGAUUUUUUCUUUUGGACAGAUACAAAAAAGAGAUAUACGCAUAUAUUUACAGAAAUAAAAAAUAUAGGCAGUUUUCAUACCAAGCAACAGAGGUGAUUUAUUUACUUUAUUUCUUUCUUUAUUUGCAUGUAAAUAGUGUUAACAAUAAGUAAAAGUUACCUGCUGUGUUGCGAGAGAAAGGGGAGUUUUUUCUGAACCAUAACCGCCGAGCACGGUGGCUCAGGCAGUGGCGCGUGAAGCGCGUGAGGCUAAAGGUGGUGGCACUCCGGGACGAGCCAGGACGGCCACUAGCUAGAGCUCUGAGAGAAUUUUAGAGCUUUAACCUUUUUUUUCUGUUGAAUGUCUAAAAUGACAGUUUAUAGGGUUUUUUUUACUUUUAUAAAAUCUGUAAGACGACGCCGUUUUAGUUUAAAACAAUAAGCUUUAAAACGACGUCGUUCUAAGGAGGAUCCGCGCGUUGACCCGAUAACCCGGAGAGGAUCCGCGCGUUUUUGGUAAAUGGGAAAAUUUCCAAAUCGGCCCUUUUGUGUUUUCAAAUUUUCAAAUUUCAUUUUAGUUUUUAUCCUAAUUUAGCCCCAGUAUUUUAUAUUGAUUUCAAUUUAAUCCUAGCGCUUUUUUAAAUCCAUUCCAAAGAAGCGACAUCGUUUUCGGGGAUUAGGGCUAAUUCCCAAAUAGUCCCUUGGUUUUAAUUCGUUUUCCAGAUAAGCUUAAAUUUUUUAAAAUUUAGCCCAAAAUUUUCAAUUACUUUCAAUUUUAGUUCUCUUUUACUUAUAAAUUUAUUUAUUUAAAAUUUUAUUAUUUAUUAUAUAUUAUUAUUUUUUUAUUAAAAUUGUAUGUUAUAUUAUUAUCAAAUAAGGAAAAUACAUUUAUUUUAUUAUAUCAUAUAUUAUUAUAUUAUUUUAUAUGGCAUAUAUAUAUUAUUUACAUUGUAUUAAUUUUUUUAAAAAAAGAAUAUAUGUAUUUUUUUAUGUUAAUUAUGUAUAAAAAUAUUUUUUAUUUAUGUAUAUUAUAUCAUUGUAUGUUUUUUUCUGUAUACAUUUUAUAUAUUUCACUAUAUUUAUACAUAUUAUAUUAUUUUUAUUAUUUGUUUUCAUAUUAUUUUAUUAUAUAUUAUACUUUACUCCUUAUGAUAUUUUUAUAUAUUAUAUUAUACAUUUUAUCAUAUUUUUUUACAUUAUCUUUGUUUUAUUAUAAAAUAUAUACUAUUUUAUUAUUUAUUAAGUAUGCACAUUCUUAAAUUUUUUAAAGUGUAAUACCAAUAUUUAGUAUAUUAUAAGUUAUUAUACCCCAUGGUAUAGUUCAUAUAUAUAUGUAUCCUUUUUUUUAAAGGGGGGUUUACUUUUAUCAUUUUCAUGUUUUUUAAUGAUAUAUUUCUAAAUGGCUUAUUUUUAUUUUAUACAUUUAAUUUGCUUAUUUAUUUUUAGAUUCUUUCUUUAUUUUGAUAUUGUCUAAUAGGUUAAAUUUUACAUCUUAUUUUAUUCUUGCUCUUAUAUAUUCACAUAAAUUUAGUUAUUUAUGAUAAAUUAGAUAUAUAUAUAUAUAUAUACAUUGACAUAAAAUGUUGUUAUGUAUGUGUUAUACAAUUUACACUAUUGAAUUCGCUAUAUUCCAGGUUAUACUUUGUACGUAAUAAUGCCAUUUAUGACCAUGCAUAAAAUUAUAGCAUAUCAGAUAAUUUAGAUCCUUAUUCUUCACCUUUACUAUAUUUGCAUGAAAUGAUAAAACAUAUAUAUAUUGAAAUUAGGUUAUUUUAAUUUCUUAUAAUAUGUAAAACAUAUCAUUUUUUAAAAAAAAAACCCAAAAGUCAUAUCUUAUUUAAUUCAAAAGGAACUUUUAAAAAAAGAGCAAGGCAAUGUUUUGAAUGCUUAGAAAUUCGAGAGAUAGUGCCCUAACAUGCUGGGUUGCAAUUUCUUGUUUGUCGAAAUAUUUAAAAAUAUACUUUUAAAUGAGUUUUAUAAAUCAUGAGAUGAUUUUAGUUACGAAAGAUUAAAGAUAUCGUGUCCAAUCAUGCUGGAUGUGAUGUUUGUACUCUUUUAAAAACGAAUAAAUCUUGAUUCUUCUCUCAAAACAUCACGAUUUAAAGGAAAUAUUAUUUUUUUUUAAAUUUUUCAAAUUUCUAACACUAAGACAAGAAUUACUCAAUUUGGUACCAAUUAUGGGCGUUACGAGAGUGCUAAUCCUUCCUCGUAAGUAAUCGACUCCCGAACAUAUUUUCUCAUAAAUUUGUAGGCCAAAACAUUUUUGUAUAGUGAUCCAAUCGCACUUUAAAAGAUUGGUGGCGACUCUUGUUUUCAUUUUUCAAAAAGUCGAUCCCCGUUUUUUUCAAAAAAAAAUUCUUUAAAAAAUGGUUUCGACAAAAAGUGCUUCAUCCAAUCACUCAUUGGUAUUUUAGAGUUUUUUUUAAUCCUAUCCAAUUAACCAUGAUGAGUUAGUCAGAAUCAGUCCAAGCUUGGACGAGUUCCAUUCGGAAAUAGAAAUGGGGGAAGAUGAUGAUAUUCGUAUCAUAGAAGUUUGUGGUACGAGUGGCAUUGGCAAAACGACCCUUGCAAAAGUUGUUCACAAUCAAAUGUCACCUCAUUUUGAAGGUAAAAGCUUUCUUGUUGAUGUUCGAGAAAUUUCAGAGAAAUGUGGACUUGUUUCUUUGCAAAAACAAUUUCUUUCCCAAAUCUUGUUUGAUGAAAGCUUCAAUUUUUUCAAUGUUCAUGAAGGGAAAGCCAUAAUUAGCCACAGGUUGUCUCACAAAAGAGUUCUUGUUGUUCUUGAUGAUGUUGAGAACCUACUGCACUUGAAAUGCUUGGUUGGAAUGCGUAAUUGGUUCAGUGUAGGGAGCAGAAUCAUUGUAACAAAAAAAGAUGAACAUUUGCUCCGAUCUUAUCGAGUUGAUGGUGUGUAUAAGCCUACAACACUGAAAGCCAAUGAUGCACAUCAUCUUUUCAAUUUGAAAGCUUUCGGUUGCGAGACUGUGCCAAAAGAGGAUUUCAUUGAGCUAGCUAAACAUGUUGUAGGUUAUGCUGGUGGACUCCCCUUAGCACUUAAAGUUUUGGGUUCUUUGCUGUGUGACAGAGAUGCAAGGCAAUGGACAAGCGCGAUAGAAGGACUUGAAAGAGAUUCUAACAAAGAAAUUUUUGAUAGACUUCAAAUAAGUUUUGAUGGAUUGGAAGAAAGGGAGAAGAAUAUAUUUCUAAAUAUAGCUUGCUUCUUUAAUGGGGAGGAGAAAGAUUUUGUAAUGAAAGUACUGGAUGGUUGUGAGUUUUUUCCAGAUAUUGGAAUCGAUGUUCUCAUUAAAAAAUAUAUAACCGUUAAUAAAUACAACCAAUUGCGGAUGCAUGACUUGCUACAAGAAAUGGGAAGAAAAAUUGUUAGAGAAAAAUCUGUUGAUGAACUUGGAAAACAUUGCAAAUUGUGGGUGGAAAAAGAUGUGUAUCAUGUGCUAACAACACAAAUUGUAAGUCAUUCCAUACAAAUUAUAUAUAUUCUUACUUUAGCUUAAAUGAUUCAAACAAUUAGUAUUAAGAGGUGACAUUAAUUAAAUUUGAGAUUCAAUGCAAAAUUAGAAUUUAAAAUAUAUAUAUAUAAUCUAUUAUAUCUAUAAAGUGUUUAUUUUUUAAAAAAUAAUAAAGUGUUUAUUUUAAAAAAAUAAUAAAAUGUUUAAUUUAAAUAUUGAUAGAGUAAAAAGAGUACAUUUAUCCUGUAUAUUUCUAAAAGGGUAAACUACAAAAAUAGUCAUUUUUGUUUGCCUCAGGUUACAUUUUAGUCACUUAUGUUUGAAAUGUUACGUUUUUAGUCACUUGUGUUAUUAUUUUGUUACGAAGUGAUCACUCUUCCGUUAAAUUCAGUUAUUUCCUUAAUGGUAAUCCUACGUGGCAGUCCAACCAGAUUUUAAGUGCCAACUAGAUUUUAAGUAUAUCUGUUAAUACAUACUUCAUCUGGCUAAAUUAUGCAUUUGAGUGAAAAUUGUAUUAUUUGUAAAGUUCUUUCUCUCCUUUUUACAAUGCCAAUGGAGUGAAAAUAAUUGUUAACUACGAGAUAAAAGAUUCUGAUUUUUCUAGCAUGAAAUUGCUCAUAUUAUUUAGUAAUUAAUUUCAAAUUUCGGUUGCAGCUUUUGUCUAGAAAAAUUAUUUAGCUAGAAAAGUCAUUUGGCAUUGUAAAAAAGAGAGAAAGAAAUAAAUAAGCACUGCAUUACUUUGAUCCUAUAUUUAUACAUUUUUUUUAUUUCAAUUGGUUGUUGAUUUGGUCUGCAAAAUGAAAGUAAUCAAUUUUAAUUUCACAUGUGGUUGUUUUUACUAUGAAUACCUUGCGCAUAAUUUAUGAAAAUUUUACUCUAUAAGUUUGCUCCACAAGAUAUAUAUUUUAGUUUAUCUAUAUAUAUUAGUGCGAGGAUGAACAUUCCAUAUGGCUUGUUAUAAAUCCGAGUAUUAAUAACAACUGUACGAUAUUAAAAAGUUUUAUUGACGUAUAUUACAAAGGAUAGUCAUCCUUCCCCUAGUUGAAGAACAUAAUUAUAAUAGUAAAUCAAAUCUAUAAUUUAGCCGGAUAAAGUAUGUAUUAACAGAUAUACUCUUACAUCCUCCGGGUUACGAAUGUAAAUUGUAUAACAAAUUACAUGCAAAAAUGUGCAAAUGUUGAGGGUGAAUUUUGGACUUUCUUGUUCCGAGUGUUUGCUUGUUAUAAAAUCGAUUAUUAAAAACAACUUUGCAAUAUUACCAACUUUCAUUGACUAUAUAAUCCACGAGUUUGCCUUAAAUAUUAAUGUCGACAUUGUUCAUGUGUUAUUACAAUAAAACAGAACUGAACAUUCCAUAUGGCUUGUUAUAAAUCCGAGUAUUAAUAACAACUGUAUGAUAUUAAAAAGUUUCAUUGACGUAUAUUACAAAGGACGGUCAUCUUUCCCCCGGUUGAAGAACGUAAUUGUAAUAGUAAAUCAAAUGCAUAAUUUAGCCAGAUGAAGUAUGUAUUAACAGAUAUACUUAAAAUCUAGUUGGCACUUAAAAUCUAGUUGGACUGCCACGUAGGAUUACCGUUAGGGAGAUAACGAAACUUAACGGAAGAGUGAUCACUUCGUAACAAAAUAAUAACAUAAGUGACUAAAACGUAACAUUUCAAACGUAAGUGACUAAAAUGUAACCUGAGGCAAACAAAAGUGACUAUUUUUGUAGUUUACCCUUUUUAAAAUGUAUAAUUUAAUUUUUUUAAUUAUAAAUAUUUAAAAACACCUCCACGAUAUGUAUAAAAAAAUGUUAUUUCAUUGAACUAAUUUAGUUGGAAAAAUGUUUUAUUUAGUUUGUUUUUGUUUAUUAAUUUCAACCAAUAAUAAUAAUGCUAAAUCAUCAUAAUAUAAAUUUCACGAAUUUUUGUUUUGUGUUUUAUUUUUUAUUUUUAGGCUACAAAAAUAAUUGAAUGUAUAAUCAUUGACAAUAAAAGGUAUGUGGGAAAACAUGCACGUAUGUAUCUAUGUAAAAUGUUGAUGUUGUUGUUGUUGUUUUUUUUUUUUUUGUAAAAAUAAUAAAAAAGAGGUGGCAAAAAUCUUUAAUGCUUAACAUUUCAAAAAAAAAAAAGGAAAAAGAGUGGCAUGUGUUAUGAAAAGUAAUAUAAUAGUUAAAGAGUAUGUUUAUUGUAAUUGUGAAACUUCGUUGUAUAUUUUGGUGUAAUCGUAAUGUCAUUGCAUUCGCAUGUAUCUAUUUUCUUGCAUUUUCUCUUUAGUCAAACACUUCUUUUGUGUGUAUAUCAUGGUUUCUAGUGGUGUGAGUUUGUGAAUAUCAACUCCAAUUUUUUCAACCUACGUUAUUCAAAUUUGGAUGUAGGUGUUAUAUAUACACGUGUUUGGAAUGAGCAUAUUCAUUUUCUUUUACAUUUUCAUUGUUUUUUAGAUUCCUUGAAGGAUCAUAUAUUUAUAUUUGUGUUCAAAUAUUCGUCCUAACUUUAAGAUACUAAAUGUUUUGUAUAUGUAUAAUCAUAUUCUUAUUCUACCUAGAGAAAUGAGUGAGAUUCAAAAUUUGAGCGCGGAUGUCUUCGUGAAGAUGAGAAGAUUAAGACUACUCAAAAUCUUUUGCCGGACAAAUUGUUGUGAUCUGACAUAUCUUUCUAAUUAGUUACAACUUUUAGAUUGGAUGGGAUGUCCUUUAAGAUCAUUACCUUCAAGUUUCAAACCAGAAAACCUUGUUAUACUUCUCCUCCCUUAUAUCAAUAUUGAACAAAUAUGGAAGGAAAACGUAGUAAGAAUUAACUCAUUUGGUCAUUGUUCUCUAUCUUAUUUUGAGAAUAAAGAUGAUUUUUUUAUUAACAUUGAAGAAUAACAAUAAAAAUGAGCUUUCCUAUGUUAAUCUCUUUUUAUCUCUAAUUUAUUAUUGUUUUCAACAGCCCCUAUAUAAGUUGAAAGUGCUCAACCUAAAAGGGUCUAAAAACCUAAUCAAGGCACCAGAUUUCACAACUACCCCAAAUCUUGAAAUUUUGGUUUUGGAAGGAUGUACUAGAUUAGUAUAUGUUCAUCCAUCUGUUGGAGUUCUAACGAGGCUUAAGCUUUUGAAUUUAAGAGGCUGCAAAAGUCUGAGGAGUUUUCCAACAAAAAUUGGAAUGGAAUCUCUUGAAAUGUUAAUUCUUUUAGGUUGCUCAAAACUUCAAAGCUUUCUAGAGAUUGAUGGGAAAAUAGAAUAUUUGUUGGAGCUUUGGUUUGAUGGGAUAAACAUUAAAGAGCUACCUUCUUCAAUCGAAAAUCUGAGUAGUCUUGUUUUGUUAAAUUUGAAAGAUUGUAGGGACCUUGUGGAUCUCCCUGGGAGCAUAGAUGGGUGGGUGUAAAAGUUUUAAAUCACUUAAUCUUUCUGGUUGUUAUAAAGUUGAAUAUUUACCAGAGAACUUGCAGCAAAUAGAAUUCUUGGAGGAGCUUGACUUAAGUGAAACAUCCGUGACAAAACCACCAUUCUUUGUUUUUCAAUUUAAAAAUCUUAAAGUUAUGUCUUUUAAUGGGAUCAAUAGACCUUCUUCUAAGUUAAAUGUAAUCCAAACAUGAAGGACAAAUUCUAUGGCUCUGACGUUGCCUUCGUUGUUAGGUUUGAGUUCAUUAACAAGCUGAAUUUAAGGGACUGUAAUCUUUGUGAAGGAGAUAUUCCUAGGGAUAUUUCUCGCCUAUCCUCUUUGAAACAACUUGAUCUUGGUAGUAACAACUUCAUCAGCAUACCUUCGUCUCUUACUCGAAUUCCCAAGCUUGAUUUUCUUAGAUUGUUAGAUUGCAGGGCGCUUAAAUCGUUGCCUGAGCUUCCAACAAGUAUAACAAAUGUAAAAAUAAAUGGUUGUACUUCUCUCGAAAUAGUGGCAAAUCCUACAAAUUCAUCAAAAGUUUGGAAUUUGAAGGAUUGGGCAACUAUAUUAGGUGUUAAUUGCUUCAGAUUGGCUGAGAACAUCGAUGCCUUAACAUUGCUAAAAAAAUAUCUAAAGGUUCAUUAAUGUCUCUAUUUCUAUGUGUCUUAUAGUUAUUCAUGUUGUCUCUUACCAAACAACUAGAGGUUUAUUUUGUAGGUAUUUGGAAAUUCAAGAAAAAAAGUUUGUUAUUAUUAUACCUGGAAGUGAAAUGCCAGAAUGGUUUAGUCAACAAAGAGGUGGCUCUUGGAUUAAGAUAGAUUUGCCUCUGGAAGUUCGGAAUGAUAGUUGUUGGUGUUAGAUACACUUUAACUAGAUGAAGUAAGAACUUCAAUCUGGACCUUAACAGCAGUGCAUUAUACCCGGAUAAAGAAUGAAGGAAAAAAUGCUUGGAAUUCAAGCUUUGAGCUACUACCAGGAAUGGAGAACAGAAUUUAGAAGGCAAAGAAAGAUAGAGCAUAUGGAAAGAAAAUAUGAUGAUUUCAUUCAAAAGAAACAUAGGCUUAAAUCCAUUACAUAUACCAGACAUUGGCUGGUCAAAAAAUAAUAAAUUCAUCACCUAAACAUUACCUAACUCCAUUAGUUACAUAGGGACUAGGUGAUUUUGCUUGCAAACAUAAACAAAGCUGGUGGUCAGCUCUAUCACUAUCAAAUUACAUCAAACAUAAACUAAACUAAGUUCAACAUGAACUAGAACACAAAAUAUGGACUAAACAAACUAAACCAUGAAAAAUGAAACAGUAGCAUGGUUCUUCAUCUGGUUAACUCAUAUUUUAACCGGAUAACUUAUACUUUGUGAUCAACUCCUUAUCUGCAUGAGCUGUAUAUCCACCUUUGUUGUUGCAUAUGUUGCAUGGGAACUAACUUCAACACUCCUCCUUAAUUUCCAUGCUUGUAACACCUACCUACUUUUUCAGUUUUAUAAACCUUGACACACUAAGGGCCUUUAUGAAGAUAUCAGCAACUUGUUCCUCUGAACUGCAAUGAAUCAGCUCUACCUCUCGAGCUUGUUCCAUCUCCCUUAUCACAUGUAACUUGAUGCUGAAGUGCUUUGUUCUACCAUGGAAGAUAGGAUUCUUUGCAAUUGCAAUAGCAGACUUGUUAUCACAAAAGAUCUCUGUUGCCUCCCUUUGAUGUAGGUUAAGAUCAGCUAGAAUUUUUCUCAGCCAAAUGGCUUGAUUUACAGCAUUGGCAGCUAUAAUGUAUUCAUCUUCUGCUGUUGAUUGGGCCACCAUCGAUUGUUUCCUUGAGCUCCAACAAAACAUGGUUGAGCCAAGGGUAAAAGCAUACCAGAGGUGCUUUUCAUAUCAUCACUUGAACCAGCCCAGUCACUAUCAGUAUAGCCUCUCAACUUCAAACUUUCAGCUUUGUUAAAUAACACACCAUAGUCAAGAGUGCCUUUGAUGUACCUUAGUACUCUCUUUGCUGCUUGAAAGUGCUAGACAUUACAGCAAUGCAUAAACCUUGAUAGCAUACUCACAGCAAACAAGAUAUCUGGCCUAGUUGCUGUCAAAUAUAACAAGCAGCCAACUAUGCUCCUGUAGGUAGACUCAUUGACUGGUUCAUGAUCUCCUUGGCUUGACAGCUUUAUUCCAACAGCAAUAGGCAUGCUUGUUGGCUUACAAUUCUCUAUUGAGAACUUGGACAAAACUUUCAAGGCAAAUGUUCUCUGUCCCAAGAAGAUUUUUCCUUCUGUUUGGCGUACUUCUAUUCCCAAAAAAUAUGUCUUUAGCCCCAAGUUAGACAUUUCAAACAUGUCCUUUAUUUUGGCUUUGAAUUUAGCCAACAUGUCUUGAUCUCCUCCAGUCACCAAAAGGUCAUCGACAUAGAGGGAUACAAUAAGCUGUAUUUUAGUUUCAUUCUUCUUGACAUAUAGUGUUGGCUCACUAACACUUCUGUUAAAUCCCAAACUGACCAAGUAACUGUCAAUUCGAGCAUACCAGGCUCUAGGAGCCUGUUUCAGGCCAUACAAUGCCUUCUUAAGCCUGUACACCAUUUGUUCUUUGCCAGACACAACGAAACCUUGAGGCUGAUCAAUGUAGAUCUCUUCUUCAAGGAAACCAUUUAGGAAUACAAACUUCACAUCUAACUGAUGAAUGGCCCAUUGCUUUUGUGCUGCUAAAGCAACUAGCAAUCUGAUGGUGCAAAAGUCUCCAAGUAGUCCAGGCCAUAUCUUUGACUGAAGCCUUUGACAACAAGUCUGGCUUUCAGCUUAUUUAAACUGUCAUCAGCAUUUUGUUUGGCUUGAUAGACCCAUUUAACUCCAAUGAUCUUUCUGUUGGUAGGCCUUUCAACUAGCUCCCAUGUUUGAUUCUUUUGAAUCAUCUUGAUUUCUUCAACCAUGGCCUGUUUCCAUCCUUCAUCAGCUUCAGCUUCUUCAAAACUGCAUGUCUCCAAUAUGGCAACUUGUGUUCUUUCAUAAAUUUCAGCCAAAGGUCUAGUGCAUCUGACUGGCAUGUCAUCAAUGUCCAUUUCAGAACUAACUUGAUUAGGUUCAGCAUGAUCAGCCAUCAGCUCUUCAGAAACAGCCUCUGGCUCAUUCUUCUCCCAAUUCCAGCAUUCUUUUUCAUCAAAGAUCACAUCUCUUCUUACUUGAAUUUUGUUUGUUAAAGGGUCCAAAAUCCUAUAGCCUUUCUUGACCAUACUAUACCCGGUUAAAAUACUAGGAAUAGCUCUUUUGGACAACUUAUCCCCCUUUACAGCUGGUAUUUGGCUGUAACAUAGGCAACCAAAGACUUUCAUAUGAGCCAAUGAUGGCUUGAACCCGAACCAGGCCUUAAAAGGUGUCUUGUGAGCAAGUGCUUUGGUUGGAAGCCUAUUCUGAAUGUAGACAGCAGUAUUGACAGCUUCAGCCCACAUGGUCUUGGGCAAAUUCUUCUCAAAUAAUAAACAUCUGGCCAUAUCCAUCAAGCUCCUAUUCUUUCUUUCACUUACACCAUUUUGUUGAGGUAUAUAAGUGUUAAUGAGCUAGUGUCUAAUGCCAGCUUCAUCACAAAAGGUAUUAAACCCGGAUGAAGUAUACUCUGUUCUAUUAUCAGACCUAAGGGUCUUGAGUUUACAGCCUAUUUCAGUUUCUGCUGCAGCUUUAAAUUUCUGGAAUAUUGAAAGUACUUCAUACUUAUUCCGGUGAAAGUAUACCCAAUCAUCAAUAAAUAAAAUGAAGUAUCUACUUCCAUUCAAUGAUUCAGUCUUCAUAGGGCCACACACAUCUGUGUGUACAAGCUGCAGCUUCUCAGAGGCUCUCCAUCCUUGAUUGGUAGGAAAUGGCAAUCUUGCUUGUUUUCCCAAUUGACAGACUUCACAUACCUCUUCUUCCUCAACAGAGUUGGUGAAGUUUUCAACCAAGUCUUCACUGAUCAUCUGAGUCAUUGAUCUAAAAUUGGCAUGCCCAAGCCUUUGGUGCCAAAGCUUGGAAUCUUCUGUAGAGGCAAUGCAGGCUGAGUGUAAGUCACUUGGCCAGCUAACUUCAAAGUAUUUAUCAGUCAUAGUGAUUGUCAUGAACUUGGAUCCACUUGGAUCACUUAUCUAGCAUUCUUCACAUUUGAACACAACAGAAUAACCUUUCUCAAGCAAUUGAGCAAUGCUGAGAAGGUUUCUGUCAAUCUCAGGCACUAGCAGCACAUUUGAAAUGACUUUAUUACCUGUAGGAGUGCAUAUCAGCACAUCUCUCUUUCCUUCAGCUUUUAUGAACUGUCCAUUACCAACUUUCACUUUGGUCUUGCAGUUUCUAUCCAAAGUCUUAAAGAUGGUUGCAUGAGGUGACAUGUGGUUAGUGCAGCCACUGUCCAACAACCAGCCUUUUGUACCUUUCUUCUGGCCAGCUGAGCAUGAAACAGCAAAAACUCAUUCUUCAUGGUCACUACUGUCUUCAGCCACUUGAGCUUCAGCAUUUUUGUAUUGUGCUUGAUUCUGGCCGGGUCUGCCCUUUUGUUUGCAGACCCUUUCAACAUGCCCUUCUUCUUGCAGUGUUGACACACAACAUCUGGCCUGAACCAGUAUCUGGCCUCUGGAUGACCAAGUUUUUUACAAAAUCUACAGAGUUGAUCUUCUCCUCUUGCAGCAUCAGGCUUAGGCCUGUUUUUCCAGUUCUUCUUACCUUUAUAGGCUUAGGAACUUGAAGCAGACUUGGUUUUAGCUUGGAAAGCACCCUCUUGGUGCUCCUCCAUCCUGCUAGCUCUCCUUUGCUCCUGAGCAUAGAGGGCAUUAAUGAGCUCAGUUAAGGAGAUGCUUGCUAGGUCUCUUGAAUCCUCUAAGGAGGAUAUUUUUGCUUCAUACCUUUCUGGUAAGGUAGAGAGCACUUUCUCCACAAUCCUUGCCUCAUCAAAUUGCUCACCAAUGAGCCUUAUGCUGUUAACUACAGCCAUGAUUCUGUCAGAAUACUUCUUGACAGUUUCUUCUUCCUUCAUCUUCAAAUUCUAGAAAUCCUUUCUUAGGUUCAAGAGCUGUUGCUGCCUUGUCCUCUCUGUGCCUUGGAACUCCUCCUUGAGUUUGUACCAGGCUUGUUUUGGUGUUUCACAAGCCAUGAUUCUAGUAAAAAUUACGUCAGAAACACAGUUCUGAAUGUAUGACAUGGCCUUGUACUUUUUACUUUUUUCUUCAGAGUACUGCUUCAUUUGAGCCACUGUUGGAUUUGCUCUCAAUGGUUCUGGUUCAACAUCUGAGUUAACCACCUCCCAUAGAUCAAAUGCCUGGAGGUAGGUUCUCAUCUUGACUACCCAAAUGUGAUAUCCUCUUCCAUUGAAAACUGGAGGUGCAGCUGGUGAGAAGCUUGAUGAAGCCGUCAGUAUGUGAUCCAACUAUAACAGGUCCGCUAAGAUAAGGGCUCUAGAUACCAAUUGUUGGUGUUAGACACACUUUAACCGGAUAAAGCAAGAACUUUAAUCUGGGCUUUAAGAGCAGUGUUUUAUACCCGGAUAAAGAAUGAAGGAAAAAAAUGCUUGGAAUUCAAGCUUUGAGCUACUACUAGGAAUGGAGAACAGAAUUUAGAAGGCAAAGAAAGAUAGAGCAUAUGGAAAGAAAAUCUGAUGAUUUCAUUCAAAAGAAACAUAGGCUUAAAGCCAUUACAUAUACCAGACAUUGGCUGGUCAAAAAAACAAUAAAUUCAUCACCUAAACAUUACCUAACUCCACUAGUUAGAUAGGGACUAGGUGAUUUUGCUUGCAAACAUAAACAAAGCUGGUGACUAGCUCUAUCACCAUCAAAUUACAUCAAACAUAAACUAAACUAAGUUCAAAAUGAACUAGAACAUAAAAUAUGGACUAAACAAACUAAACCAUGAAAACUGAAACAGUAGCAUGGUUCUUCAUCUGGUUAACUCAUAUUUUAAUCGGAUAACUUAUGCUUUGUGAUCAACUCCUUAUCUGCAUGAGCUGUAUAUCCACCUUUGUUGCUGCAUGUGUUGCAUGGGAACUAACUCAAUGGAUGGGAGUUGCUUUGUGCUGCAUUUUUGUGAGUUAUGAUGCUUCAAGAGAUGAGAAUCUCAUGUGUAGAACUGUUAUCCAAGGUAGAUAUUCUAGACAGGCCAAUUGCACUCGAUCUAAUUUCCAGGGUAGAAAUCCUCCAAUAGUCGAUUGGAGUGGCUGCUCUCUAAAUUAUGGUUUAGAACAGCCUGUAACGAAGGACCACAUGUUAAUUUGUUAUUUCUCGCGUGACAAGUUUUAUCCAAUUUCUUUGGAAGACAAAUGUGGUAAACGUGAAACCAAUAAUUUAUGGACAAUAGAUUGCUUAGAUCAGGAAUGCCAUUAACUUGACUUGUUGUUCACAGAUCCCUUCAAUAACAGUGUUAAGAUGAAGAAGUGUGGUGUUAGAAUAGUGUAUGAGAGAGAUCUGGAAGAGAUGAACAAAUAAAAGAGCUGCAUAGUAGUCAGUGUUGUGCAAAUUUUGAAGAUAUCCAGCAACACUCUGUUGAUGAUGGAUCAAUAGGUAACGGUUCCCUAUAAAACAGAAACGUAAAUAUAUGAGGAGAGGGAUGAAGGACCGCAAUCAAAACAGAUGCAAAAAAAAAAUCAAUUCUACAAUGAGUAGAUUGAGGAAGAAGCACUAGUUGUGGUAAACUACUUCAUUAGCCUUGUCCUAUUAAUUUUUUUAUGACCUUUUUUUUAUCUAUAAUAGUAUUCAUAGUUUUUUUUAUUUUAUUUUAAGUAUUUAGUUUUGAUAUCUUACUCUACAAUAAAUGAGAUAUAAUCUUUCAAAUAUAUAUAAUUAACCUAAAAAUUCUAGCAUAUACAUGUUGAACAGAAACUCGUAUUCUAUGCCUAUCCCAAAUUUGAAUAAUAACAUUCAAAAUAUUAUUCAUUUUUAUAUAAUUAGAUUUUAUGAUCGCAGAUUGAAGAAAUAUAAUUGACUAGAGAUAAAAUGUGGAGGAAGUUUUGAUUGCUCCAUGAAGAAGCAACCAAUAAGUAAGUUGCGAAUUCUUUAUUAAUGUUAUAAUCAUCCUUUUAUAUUUAAAUUUAGACUAUUUUCGUAAAAAAAAUUUACUUUUUUUAAAUUUAAAGGUUAAAUUUAGAUCAGAAAAAGAAUAAAUAUCAAAUUACCAGAAAAUGUAAACUUAAAAAAUUAAAUUUAUCAUCAUGUGAAGACGUUAUACAUAAAAUAAGAAUAAUAUAUGACAAAUAUUAAAUACCAUCUCGUAGAAUAAGAAUAAUAUAUAAAAAUUCAUUGCUUUUCAAUUUUGUUUAUUGUAUUUAGUUUUUUUUAGUAGUUACACAUCUUCAUAUGAAUAAAUAUUUUCAUUGUGUGAUACAAAUUAUCAUCUCUGUUCUUUCAUUUUGGUUGUUUUGUUUAUUCAUAUGUUUUCAUUAAGCUUUAUUCAUUUCAUUUUCAACUUCCAUUCUCAUUUUUUUUCCUUUUUUCAAUUUUAUUGAAUUGAUUACAAUGUGAUAUUUUUGCUAGAUGGUGAUUAUAUACUCUUUACAAUGUGUAAUUUGACAAAAAAAAUUUCCCCUUUUGGCAAGUCGGUGGUGUAUCACUCAACAAUAAACAACAAUUGUCUUUAGCUUUGAUGUCAUUCUUUUAAAAAUUAUUUAUGACUAAGAAGUAAUAUCUUUUAAAAGCUUUGAUAUCAAUUUUAGUUUCUAAGUUAAUAUCAAUUAUUAAACUACUAAUGUGCCUGAAAAUUUCAAUGAAAUUUUUUUUUAGAGAUAAUUCAAAUCCCAUAUACGUUAAGUAUUACUUUGUUCUGUUCUUUUUCUUAUGUAGUUAUAGUUGUUAGACUCGUAAAAAUAAGCUAAACAUAUAUUUUUUUUGUUUUAAUUCAAAAUUAAAAAAAAAUUUGAAUUUGAGUGGUAUUUUAUUUAAGAUGAUUUUAGAAUUAUAAUAGAUAAUAUUCUUUUAUUAAUUUAAAUACUACAUUAUUAUUUGAAUAGCAUAUAUUGGAGAUUACAUUUGAUUUUAAAAACUAUUAUUGCUAUAUAUUAUCCUGAAAUUCAAGAUAAGAGCAAUGAUGUGGCAUAAAAUUAUUGGAAAGGGAUACAGAUGAUGUGACGUCACUGUUUCAUCAAUCAUUUCCCUAUAUAAUAUAUAGGGAUAAUAGUUUUUAAAAUCAAAUGUAAUCUCCAAUAUAUGCUAUUCAAAUAAUAAUGUAGUAUUUAAAUUAAUAAAAGAAUAUUAUCUAUUAUAAUUCUAAAAUCAUCUUAAAUAAAUACCACUCAAAUUCAAUUUUUUUCAUACAAUCCUUUCCCAUACUAUAUAUUAGAGAAUACCAUCAAUAAAAUUUAUCAUCAUUUUCUUUUGUUGUAAUUGACUUGUUACACUUCUACCACUACUCGCUUUCAUAGAUUAUUGUGGAGAUUCGUUUCGAAGAAAUAAAUGUAGGAAAUGUAUAGAGAAAUUGCCUAGAAACCUGUGUCUGCUUUGCCUUUCUUGACUGUUUCUAGUUUCUUUCUGCAUACUGAGCCACCUUAUUUUCUGGUUUUCAAAAACUAGAUUGUGAUAUCUUUUUCCUUCUCAUACUUCCUCAUGUCGUUGUUACCAUUUUCAAAAACAUAGACGAGAUUGUGGCUGCUGCAAAUGGGUUGGGAGCAGUAGGAGGAGUAUUUCGGGAUGCUCAAGGCGAAUGGGGAUACUUUAGAGGCACUCUGCAAGUCGAGUUAUGGGCAGUCGUGGAUGGACUUGAUGUUGCAUGGGAAAAGGGAUUUCGGCAACUUCUUGUUGAGUUAGAUAGUGAUGAUGCUAUUCAUCUCAUUAAUUCAACUCAAGCAAAGGAAAGCAAGCUAAGGUUGGUGCGUGUUGUAAGCAGACUUAGGGAAUGACUGUGGCAAGUUGAGUUCAUCAUGGAUUGCGUGAAGUCAACAGUGUAGUUGAUAGUUUAGCAAAGAAAAGACUCGAUUUCGUCGAUAAUUCGUAUACUAGAAGAUUUACUAGACGAGCUAAGAGAGUCUUGAAUGGGAUCAGAAUAGACCAACCUUCCAUCGAUUUAGAUUGUAUUUGUUGUUUUCCUGUAUAUUUAAAAAAAAAAAAAAGGAACUGUUGGCUGGGGUUUAAAGCAGAGGGAUUUUCUUUUUCUUUUACUUUGGGCUGAAUACUGUAAAAAGGAAAGGGUUUUUGUAUUGUUGGGCCGAUGUUUCCAGCUUAACCCGGCUGUAAUGAGCCCAAAAUUUCCAGAUGUAAUUACUCUGUCAUCUUUAUGUUGGUUUGAUGAUUGAGUUUGAAAAUAGUUUGGAUCCAAUUGUCUUUACUCGACACUUUCCACACCGAAAAGCAAAAAUGUCUUUGAACCAAAAAAAUUAAGGAAAGGAAAAAGAAAAAGGUGAUUAAGGGGCGGGCUUCUUCACUUUGCUUUUCUAAUUAAAGUAGCCUCCACUCUGUGGACGAAGCAACCAAUUCUGCCCUCACCGUCAACGAUUCUUCCUGGAAAGCACCAUCAUUUUCAUUUGUCACCAAACUUCCACCACUACACCUUUUCAUAGCUAUUAUGAUGGAGAUUCGUUUUGAAGAAAAAAAAGGUAGGACAUGUAUAGAGAAAUUGCUUAGAAAUCUGUGUCCGCUUUCCCUUUCUUGAUGCUCCUAUACUUGAUCUGUUUGUAGUUUCUUUCUGCAUAUUGAGCCACCUUAUUUUCUGGUUUUCCCAAACUAGAUUGUCUUAUCUUUUUCCUUCUCAGACUUCCUCAUGUCCUCGUUGCUGUCAACUUCCUCGUCUAUUCCUAGACAAAAAGAAUAUGACGUAUUCUUGAGUUUUAGAGGUGAAGAUACUCGUCAUAACUUCACAGACCAUCUCUGUGAUGCUUUGAGAAGGAGCGGAAUAGUCACUUUCAGGGAUGAUCCAAAGCUGGAGGCCGGCGAAGAGAUCGCUCCUGAGCUCUUCAAAGCAAUUCAGCAAUCAUGGUGCUCACUAAUCGUUUUCUCGGAAAACUAUGCCUUUUCAGGUUGGUGCUUGGAGGAACUUGCUGAGAUUGUUAAACAAAAAAGGGAGAAUGGACAUAAAGUAUUUCCAAUUUUCCAUGGUGUGGAUCCAUCUGAUUUAAGAAAACAAAAAGAGAAAGUUGAAGCAGCUUUUGCCAAACAUGAAGAGAGAUACAAGGAAGAUGAAGCAAAGAUCCAAAGGUGGAGAAAUGCUUUAACUGAAGUGGCUAAUAUCAAGGGAUGGCACUCAAAUAAUAGGUUUUUUUUUCCUUCAAUUUACUUGUAAAUUUAAUGAUUACAGUUUUGUUUUGAAAUAGUUGUUUUUUAUAUAUAUAUUGACAAAAUUGGAAAGUUGUUAUUUUCUAGUGUUAUAAGGCAAAUAAGGCAAUAACACCAGAAAAACUACCAGCUCAAGUCCUCCAAGUGUAUCCUAAAUUUGUUCGAUAUUACUAUGCGUUUCACAUCUUAAUUUUUUUUCUUAGUUCAUUUAACUUCAUUUCCAUAUCAAUAAUUUUCUUAAUUAAAAAUUACAUCUUUAUAUCUUUGUAGGCAUGAAUCAGAAUUUAUUGGAGACAUUGUUAAAAAAAUAUCAGCAAAGUUAUGUCAAACAUAUCCAAUUGUCCAUGAUGAUAAGUUAGUUGGAAUUAGUCCAAGCUUGGACGAUUUGCAUUCGGAAAUAGAAAUUGGGGAAGAUGAUAUCCGUAUCAUAGGAAUUUGUGGUAUGGGUGGCAUUGGCAAAACGACUCUUGCGAGAGUUGUUUAUUAUCAAAUGUCACAUCAUUUCGAAGGUAAAAGCUUUCUUGCUGACGUUCGAGAAGUUUCAGAGAAAUGUGGACUUGUUUCUUUAUAGAAACAACUACUUUCCCAAAUAUUGUUUGAUGAAAGCUUCAAUUUUUUCAAUGUUCAUGAAGGGAAAGCCAUAAUUAGCCACAGAUUGUCUCACAAAAGAGUUCUUGUUGUUCUUGAUGAUGUUGAUAACCUACAACACUUGAAAUGCUUGGUUGGAAGGCGUGAUUGGUUUGGUGUAGGGAGCAGAAUCAUUGUAACAACAAGAGAUGAACAUUUGCUCCGAUCUUAUCGAGUUGAUGGUGUGUAUAAGCCUACAACAUUGAAUGGCAAUGAUGCACUUCAUCUUUUCAAUUUGAAAGCUUUCGGUUGCAAGACUGUGCCAAAAGAGGAUUUCAUUGAGCUAGCUGAACAUGUUGUAGGUUAUGCUGGUGGACUCCCCUUAGCUCUUGAAGUUUUGGGUUCUUUUCUAUGUGAUAGAGAUGCAAGGCAAUGGACAAGUGCAAUAGAAAGACUUGAAAGAGAUUCUAACAAAGAAAUUCUUGUCAGACUUCAAAUAAGUUUUGAUGGAUUGGAAGAAAAGGAGAAGAAUAUAUUUCUUGAUAUAGCAUGCUUCUUUAAUGGGGAGGAGAAAGAUUUUGUAAUGAAAGUACUGGAUGGUUGUGAGUUUUGUCCAGAUAUUGGAAUCGAUGUUCACAUAAAAAAAUCUCUACUAACUGUUAAUAAAUGCAAUCGAUUGCAAAUGCAUGACUUGCUACAAGAAAUGGGAAGAAAAAUUGUUAGAGAAAAAUCUGUUGAUGAACCUGGAAAACGUUGUAGAUUGUGGGUGGAAAGAGAUGUCUAUCAUGUGCUAACAACAAAAACUGUAAGUCAUUCAUACACAUUAUAUAUAUUCUUACUUUAGCUAAAUUAAUUCAAACAAUCAAUAUUAAGAGGUCACAUUAAUUAAAUUUAGAUUCAACCCAAAAUUAUGAUUUUUUUUUGUUAAAAAAACAUAUAUAAUCUAUUAUAUCUAUAAAGUGUUUUUUUUAAUAUUGAUAAAAUAAAAAGAGUACAUUAAUCCUGUAUAUUUCUAAAAUGUAUCAUUUAAUUUUUUUAAUUAUAAAUAUUUAAAAACACCUCCACAAUAUGUAUAAACAAAAUGUUAUUUCAUUGAACUACUUUAGUUGAAAAAAUGUUUUAUUUAGUUUGAUUUUGUUGAUUAAUUUCAACCGAUAAUAAUAAUGCUAAAUCAUUGUAAUGUAAAUUUCACGAAUUUUUGUUUUGUGUUUUAUUUUUUAUUUUUAGGCUACAAAAACGAUUGAAGGCAUAAUCAUCGACAAUAAAAGGUACAUGAGAAAACUUACAUAUAUGUAUCUAUGUAAAAUGUUGAUGUUGUUGUUGUUGUUUUUUCUUGUGAAAAUAAUAAAAUCUUCAAUGCUUAACAUUUCAAAAAAAAAAUAGUGGCAUGUGUUAUGAAAAAUAAUAUAGUAGUUAAAGAGUAUGUUUAAUGUAAUUGUGAAAGUUCGUUAUAUAUAUUUUGGUGUAAUUGCAAUGUCAUUGCAUUAGCAUGUAUUUAUUUUCUUGCAUUUUCUCUUUAGUCAAACACUCUAUUUGUCUGUAUAUCAUGGUUUCUAGCAGUGUGAGUUUGUGAAUAUCAACUCCAAUAUUUCAACUAUGUUAUUCAAAUUUGGAUGUAGGUGUCAUAUAUACAUGUGUUUGGUAUGAGCAUAUUCAUUUUCUUUUACAUUUUCAUUGUUUUUGAGAUUCCUUGAAGGCUCUCUCAUGUAUAUGUAUAAUCAUAUUCUUAUUCUACCUAGGGAAAUGAGUGAGACUCUCACUUUGAGUGCGGAUGUCUUCUUGAAGAUGAAAAGAUUAAGACUACUCAAAAUUCUUUGCCGGACAAAUUGUUAUGAUCUGACGUAUCUUUCUAACGAGUUACGACUUUUAGUUUGGACGGGAUGUCCUUUAAGGUCAUUACCUUCAAGUUUCAAACAAGAAAACCUUGUUAUACUUCUCCUACCUUAUAGCAACAUUGAACAACUAUGGAAUGAAAACAUGGUAAGAAUUAACUUUCUAUCUUAUUUUGAGAAUAAAGAUGAAUUUUUUAUUAACAUUGAAGAAUAACAAUAAAAAUGAGCUUUCCCAUGUUGAUCUCUUUUUAUCUCUAUUAUUGUUUUCAACAGCCCCUGUAUAAGUUGAAAGUGCUCAACCUAAAAGGGUCUGAAAAACUGAUCAAGGCACCAAACUUCACAACUGCCCCAAAUCUUGAAAUUUUGGUUUUGGAAGGAUGUACUAGAUUAGUAUAUGUUCAUCCAUCUGUUGGAGUUCUUACGAGGCUUAAGCUUUUGAAUUUAAGAGGCUGCAAAAGUCUGAGGAGUUUUCCAACCAAAAUUAGAAUGGAAUCUCUUGAAAUGUUAAGUCUUUCAGGUUGCUCAAAACUUCAAAGCUUUCCAGAGAUUGAUGGGAAAAUGGAAUGUUUGUUGGAGCUUUGUUUUGAUGGGACAAACAUUAAAGAGCUAUCUUCUUCAAUCAGAAAUCUCAGAAGACUUGAAGUUUUGAAUUUAAAAGACUGUAAAAGUCUUAGGAGUCUUCCAACCAAAUUUGGAAUGGAAUCUCUUGAAAAGUUAAUUCUUUCAAGUUGCUCAAAUCUUCAAAGCUUGCCAGAGAUUGAUGGGAAAAUGGAAUGUUUAUUGUAGCUUUGUUUUGAUGGGACAAACAUUAAAGAGCUACCUUCUUCAAUCAGAAAUCUUAGAAGACUUAAAGUUUUGAAUCUAAAAGACUGCAAAAGUCUUAAGAGUCUUCCAAUCAAAAUUGGAAUGGAAUCUCUUAAAAAGUUAAUUCUUUCAGGUUGCUCCAAUCUUAGAAGGUUUCCAAAGAUUGAUGGCAAAAUGGAAUGCCUGCUAGAGCUCUAUUUAGAUGGGUCGGGCAUUAAAGAGCUACCUAUUUCAAUUGGAAAUCUGAGCAGUCUUGUUUUGUUAAAUUUGAAAGAUUGCAGGAACCUUGUGGAUCUCCCAGGGAGCAUAGGUGGGUGUAAAAGUUUAAAAUCUCUUAAUCUUUCUGGCUGUUAUAAAGUCGAAUAUUUGCCAGAGAAUUUGCAGCAAAUAGAAUUCUUGGAGGAGCUUGACUUAAGUGAAACAUCCAUGACAAAACCACCAUCCUUGAUUUUUCAAUUUAAAAAUCUUAAAGUUCUGUCUUUUAAUGGGAGCAAGGGAUCUUCUUCCAAGUUACAAAAAUAUCUGCCUUCUCUGUUAAAGGUAAUCCAAAGAGAAAGGACAAAUUCCAUGGCUCUGAUGUUGCCUUCGUUGUUAGGUUUGAGUUCAUUAACAAGGCUGAAUCUAAGGUACUGCAAUCUUUGUGAAGGAGAUAUUCCUGGUGAUAUUUCUCGCUUAUCCUCUUUGACAAAACUUGAUCUUGGUGGUAACAAUUUCGUCAGCAUACCUUCGUGUCUUACUCAAUUUCCAAGCUUCAAUUUCUUUUUUUGUCAAAUUGCAAGGCGCUUAAAUCGUUGCCUGAGCUUCCAACAUGUAUAGAGGAUGUAAGCGUAAGUGGUUGUACUUCUCUGGAAAUAAUUGCAAAUCCAUCAAAAGUUUGCAAUUCAAAGGACUGGGUAGAUAUAGUAGGUGCUAAUUGCUUCAGAUUGGCUGAGAACAUCGAUGCCUUAACAUUGCUGAAAAAGCAUCUAAAGGUUCGUUAAUAUCUCUGUUUCUCUGUCUUAUAAUUAUUCAUCUUGUCUCUUACCAAACAACCAGAGGUUUAUUUUGCAGGUAGUUGGAAAUUCAAGAAAGAAGUUUGAUAUUAUUAUACCUGGAAGUGAAAUGCCAGAAUGGUUUAGUCAACAAAGAGGUGAGUCUUCGAUUAAGAUAGAUCUGCCUCUGGAAGUUCGGAAUGAUAGUCAAUGGAUGGGAGUUGCUUUGUGCCGCAUUUUUGUCAGUGAUGAUGCUUCAAGGAAGGCGCAUGUCUCGUGUAGAGCUGUUAUCCAUGGUAGAUAUUCGAGACAAGCCAAUUGCACUCAAUCUAAUUUCCAGGGUAGAUAUCCUCGAGUAGUCGAUUGUAGUGGCUUGAUUGCAAAUUUUGGUCUAGAGCAGCCCAUAAUGAAGGACCAGAUUUUCAUUCGUUAUUUCUCUCAUGACAAGUUGUAUCCAAUUUCCUUGGAAGACUAAUGUGGUGAACGUGAAACCAAUAAUUUAUGGAAAACAGAUUGCUUAGAUCAGGAAUGCCAUCAACUUGAGCUGUCCUUCGAAAGAGAUGACAGUGUUAAGGUGAAGAAGUGUGGUUUUAGAAUAGUGUAUGAGAGAGACUUGGAAGAAACACAAGUGCUGCAUAGUAGUCAGUGUUGUGCAAAUUUUGAAGAUAUCCAGCAACACUUUGUUGAUGAUGGAUCAAUAGGUAACGGUUCCCUAAUAAAGCGAAAACGUAAUAUGUAUGAGGAGAUGGAUGAAGGGCCGCAACCGAAACGAAUGCAAAAAAAUUUCAAUUCUAUAAUGGGCAGACUUGGGAAGAAGCACUAAUUGUGGUGAACUACUUCAUUGGCCUUCUCCUAUUAAAUUUUUUUUUCUGACUUUUUUUAAUCUAUAUUAUUUCAUUUAAAGUAUUCACUUUCCAUAUAUUUACUCUACAAUAAAUGAGAUACAAUCUUUCAAAUAUAUAUAAUCAACUUAAAAAAUCUAAGCAUAUACAUGUUGAACACAAACUCGUAUUCUAUGCCUAUCCUAAAUUCAGAUAACAUUAUUUUUUUUUAAAACUUUUAAUAUAUUAUUCAUUUUUAUAUAAUUACAUUUUAUGAUUGCGGAUUGAACAAAAGUAAUGGGUUGGAGAUAAAAUGUGGAGGAAGUUUUGAUUGCUCCACGAAGAAGCAACUAAUAAGGUGCGAAGACCUUAUACAUAAAAUGAGAAUAAUAUAUAACAAAUAUUAAAUACCGUCUCAUUGCAAAAUCAUCACGAUUGGGCAGCCGAUUUCUCAAUGGGAAAUUAUUUGGCUUUGUUCCUUCUCCAAGCUAACCAGUAGGUCUAUCCUAUGGAAAAAUAAAAAAUACAAUAGCAUGUAUUACAUAUACUCUUUCUCACAUUUAGAGUCUUCCUCCAUGCUAUCCCUUAAACAAUUUUUUUCUUCCCUUUUUUUUAUUAAAAAUUUAUUUAAAGCUUAAUUAAAUUAAUGAAUAUGUAAACUUUUUAGUCAUUUCUCAAGUAAGUUAGUAUCUAAUUAACUUAUGAUAUUAAUUCAGUUACAAAUUUUUUUUGAAUACAAAAUCAACCCUUAAAUAGGAGAAUAAAUGUGUUUCAACGCACUCAAACCCAUACCCUCCUGUAUAGGUAACAAUGUCGAUACCAACUGAGCUAGAAUUCAGUCACAAAUUAUUAUUUUUAAUACAAAUGCUUAGAACAACCUAUACUCUCUUCCCAACCCUUAAAUAGGAGGAUAAAUGUAUUUCAACGCAUUUGAACCCAUAUUCUACUACAUAGAUGAACUAGUGUCACGGGCCAAAGUGCAAAGCCCGUGACCAACACACCAUAUGCAUCCAAUGGAGGUCUAUUGUUUAGAUAGGGAUCAUUCAGCCUACACGAACUGGCCCGGUUCAAUAAGUUGUUGGAGAAGCAUGUUAGAUUGAAGCCUAAGUGGCCCAAUGAUGAAGAUAUGACAACAUAGGCUAUCUUGGUAACUAAUCUUAAAUGAUUGAAAGGAAUCAUAUCUUGAAAAAAUUAGAUUAGAUUUGAUAAGGUAUAUCUUAUAAAUCUCAUAAUUUAAGAUAUAGGAUUAAUCUCAUCCGUCGAUGUAACUUGAUCUUAACCGUCAGUUUUGAGGGAGCUCAGCUUUAAUAGAGAGCCUACCCCUCACUUGUAAAUCACUCCAUUCUUUAUUGUUUCACUAUUCUUUGUGAAUAAUAGAAUAUUGAGAACAUUUACUCAAACUUAAGCGAGUUUGAAACAAACGGAUCGUCUAAGGCCGUACGGAUUGCGAGACGAAAGAUCUAACCUCGUGGCACUAAAACUCAGUUACAAAUUUAAAUAAUAGUAUAGAUGAUAACUAAAAUAUAAUAUAAAAUAUGUUUGGUUAUGAUAAAAUCAUGUGAAAAUAAUAUAUAUUUAUAUAUGAAUAUAUAAAAUUUUGUAUAAUGUAAAUUAUUAAUAUAGUAAAAUUGGAAAUUCGUUAAAGAUAAUUAUUAUCUUAGAAAAUAUAGGAAAGGACAUAUGGUAUGCUCAAAAGUAAAGUUGUAGGCAUUUUAAGAAGAAUUCUACAAACGUGUUCCUUAAUAUCAUUGCGCAUGAUUAGCACUGCUGGAACAGUUAGUCCCCGCUUUAACUUCACCCCCCCCCCCCCAAAAAAAAAAAAAUCAUUUCCAUAGUUCCCACAAUGCCACUGUUGAAAACAAAGGCAUUUCUAUUUUUCCAAAGUUUCCAGUAGGCCAUAGUAGAAAGAGUACCUCCAAUCAGUUCCUUGCACACAAAAAAGUUCUUUGAGUUCCAGAGAAACUCAUUGUUCUUCCAAUUCCUAGUGCCCAAUUGACACCAUUUGGUACAUCUUCCCAGAUAUUGGACAAAGCCCUCCAGAGAAACAAGCAAUUAGAAGGAUGUAUAGAAGACGACCAUUUACUUAUUACCCCAUACUUGUUACGAAGGAUUUUUAACUAGAAGUGUGCAUGGGCCGGACUACCAACGCAACAAGAGUUUAAUCCAAAUCCAAAGGAAUUGGGUAUUAUUUCGUUUAAAGUAUUAAUUUUCGAUAUGUUUACUCUACAAUAAAUGAGAUAUAAUCUUUCAAAUAUAUAUAAUUAACUUAAGAAUUCUAAGCAUAUACAUGUUGAACACAAACUCGUAUUCUAUGCCUAUCUCAAAUUUGGAUAACAUUGUUUUUUUUUAAUAAACAAUCAAUAUAUUAUUCAUUUUUAUAUAAUUACAUUUUAUGAUCACAGAUUGAAGAAAUGUAAUCGGCUAGAGAUAAAAUGUGGAGGAAGUUUUGAUUGCCAAUAAGGUGUGAAUCCUUUGUCAAUAUUUAGUUUACCCAAAUUUAUUGCCAAAGAUACUUGUAUUCUUUUAAAUUUAAAAUUUAGUCAAUAUACUUUAAUUUUGAGAUAUUGAGUCUCUAUACUUUUUCUACUUAAAAAUUUUGGUCCAUUAGUUAGUUUUGCUGUUAAAAUGGUUGAUUUGAUUGUAAUAAAAAGGUAAAAUAAUAUUUUAGCCCUCAUUAUUUACAAUUUUGUGUCAAUUUGGUCCAUACUCUUUAAAAUACAUAAAUAAUUUUAAAAAAUGUUGUAAAAUUAUUUUUUUGUAUUUACAAUAUAAUGUUUUAAAAGUUAUUUUUUGUAUUUACAAAAUUUUUUUCAAAAAUAAAAAAAAAUAGUGUUAUUAACCUAGACCCAUGGGUCGUUGCUCGGGUCCAAAUAAAUUUCAAGUCCAGGCUCGUUUCAAUUUGAUUAGCCCAAAAAAUCUACUUAACAGUUCAAAAUUUAAUAAAAUAUCAUAAAUAAAUUUAUUAUAUUAAUAUUUUAUAAUUAAAUUAAAAUUUAAAAAUAAUUUGUAUUAUUUAAAAUGAAUUUGGUUUGACUCGUUGCAUAAAAAUCUUUUUCCAAGCUCGAUCUAAGUUAGACCGAUUCAGAGUUUAAUGUGCAAUUGUAUACGUUAACUUUAAUUUUGAUUUAAUCAUACACAUUUAAAGAAAUAAAUGCAUCAAUUUAUUUUUGUAUUGAAUAAAUAUAAUUAUUUAUAUAUGCAACAUAUAAACAUAAAAUGUUAUUAUAUCUAUAAUUAUAUUAGUAAUUUACAAGCAUUGAAUCAAAUUAAAACUUCAUGUAUACAAUUACACAUUAAAUUAUAGUUCAUAUAUAGUUAAUAUGUUAUUCAAUUUUGUUCAUUGUCUUUAAUUUUUUUAGUAGUUACUGAAUAAAUAAAAAUAAAAUAAAAACAAAAUUAAAAGUUUAAAUUAAAAUUGCGAAAAUUGAAAUUAAAAUAGUAGAGAUAAAUAAAGUUGAGGAAAAUAAUUUCUUAUGGAGAUAUUCCAACCUCCGGUUGUCUCUAUCCGCCUUGAGUUCAAUCCUCGGCUUUUAGGUGAUCUUUUUUAAACAGAAUAAACCAGUUAUAGUGGAAGAGGACGCCUACGACCACCAACUCUAAGAUUUUAGACUUAAGAUUUGGCGGAACCUAACUUUAGCUAACAAUCGCUUUUGUGAGACUAUCUUAUACUAGAUCAUCACUUCUCAAUGACAAAUACAAUGCCAUUUUGUCUCUUGGGGUCACCAACCUCUGACGUAGUAAACUAACGAACUAACUAUGUAACCUUCCCAAAACGUAAAAAGCGGUUGUUCCUUACACAAGUUGAAAAGAUCACCUAUUAAAGACAUGGACGGAAGCGUCAGUCCCAUAAUGAACCCUUUUUGGGGAAUUUCGACAAUAUUCAACUAGAUAAAUUUAGUGGCUCAUGCUUUUUGAGGAAAAGGAAUAAAGGCUGAGUUUUUUUUUGGAGAGGGAGUGUUUACAAAAAAGAUGAAUGGAAUUUAUGUUACUCCAUCCCCUAUUUAUAGUACUAGAAAACCUAGUCUAUUCCUAAUUAAAUUUUAAAAGAUAAAUACAAAUAAAUAAAGAUAAAUAAAGAUAUAUGCUAAAAUUAAAUCUAAAUAAUAAUCAUUAAUAAUUAUCCUAAUAUAAUUGGGAUUAAAAUAGAGUCUUGUGCUAUAAAAUCUCUUUUUUUGCAUUUUUGCCCCCAAAGUCUUCCACACUUUGCAUUUUCGACACCACUUCUCUCCUACUUCGCAUGCUGGCCCAAUUUAUCUUCAAAUUCACGCUUUUUGCCCCCAAAAUUUCUCUUGCCUUCAAUUUAGUCCCUACAAGAUAAAGAACCAUAAAUAGCUCAAAUUAGUAGGAUCAUACUCAAAAUAAAUAUGUAAUUAAUACAUAAAAAUAUGUCAUUCUAGGGUAUUAUCAAUUAUUCAUUUCAUUUUUAUCUUUCACUGUCAUUUUUUUCCUUUUUCAAUUUUAUUGGAUUGAUUACAAUGUGGUAUUUUCGUUAGAUAGUUGAUUGUAUACUCUUUACAAUUCUAUGAUUUAAAGUGUAAUUUGACAAGUUUAUUUUUAUUUUUUUGUUUUUGGCAUGCAGCAAUCAACAAACAACAAUUGUCUUUAGCUGUAAUGUCAUUCUUCUGCAAAUUAUUUAAGGCUAAGAAGUAAUAUCUUUUAAAAACUUUGAUAUCAAUCUUAGUUUCAUUGUCCAAGACUGGGUAAGUUUGUAAGUUAAUAUCAAUUAUGAAACCAGUAAUGUGCAUGAAAGUUUCAAUGAAAUUUUUUUAGAGAUAAUUUAAAUCUUCACAUGCAAUUAUAGUUGUUAAGCUCAUCAAAACAAGCUUUAAACAUUUUUUUUUUUAGUUUUAAUUCAAAAUUUUAAAAAAAAAUGAAUUUAAGUGGCAUUUUAUUUAAGAUGAUUUUAGAAUUAUUAUAGAUAAUUUUCUUUUAUUAAUUUAAAUACUACAUUAUUAUUUGGAUAACAUAUAUUAGAGAUUACGUUUGAUUUUAAAAACUAUUAUUGCUAUAUAUAUUAUAUAUUAGAGUAUACCAUCAAUAAAACUUAUCAUCAUUUUCCUGUAAUUGACUUGUUACACUUCUACCACUACUCGCUUUCAUAGAUUAUUCUGGAGAUUCGUUUCGAAGAAAUAAAGGUGGGAAAUGUAUAAAGAAUUGCCUAAAAACCUAAGGCUGGUGCGUAUGGCAAGUUGAGUUUCAUCAUGGAUUGCGUGAAGUCAACAGUGUAGUUGAUAGUUUAGCAAAAAAGGACUUGAAUUCGUUGAUGAUUCGGAUACUAGAAGAUUUACCAGACAAGCUAAGAGACAGUCUUGAACGGGAUCACAUUGGACCUCCCUUUCGUCGAUUUAGAUUUUGUUUGUUGUUUUCCACUCUAUUAAAAAACAAAAAAAAAAGGGACUGUUCGCUGGGGUUUAAAGGAGAGGGAUUUUAUUUUUCUUUUACUUUGGGCUGAAUACUGUAAAAAGGAAAUGGUUUUUACAUUACUGGGCCGAUGUUUCCAGCUUAACCCGGCUGCAAUGAGCCCAAAAUUUCCAGAUGUAAUUACUCUGUCAUCUUUAUGUUGGUUUGAUGAUUGAGUUUGAAAAUUGUUUGGAUCCAAUUGUGUUUGAACCAAAAAGAAACGAAAAAGAAAAAGGUAAUUAAGGGGCGUGCUUCUUCACUUGACUUCCACUCUGUGGACAAAGCAACAAAUUCUGCCCUCACCGUCAACAAUUCUUCCUGGAAAACACCAUCAUUUUCAUUUGUCACCAAACUUCCACCACCACACCUUUUCAUAGCUAUUAUGAUGGAGAUUCGUUUUGAAGAAAAAAAAGGUAGGGCAUGUAUAGAGAAAUUGCUUAGAAACCUGUGUCCGCUUUCCCUUUCUUGAUGCUCCUAUACUUGGUCUGUUUCUAGUUUCUUUCUGCAUAUUGAGCCACCUUAUUUUCUGGUUUUCCCAAACUAGAUUGUCAUAUCAUUUUUCCCUUCUCAGACUUCCUCAUGUCCUCGUUACUCUCAACUUCCUCGUCUAUUCCUAGACAAAAAGAAUAUGAUGUAUUCUUGAGUUUUAGAGGUGAAGAUACUCGUCAUAACUUCACAGACCAUCUCUAUGAUGCUUUGAGAAGGAGCGGAAUCGUCACUUUCAGGGAUGAUCCAAAGCUGGAGGCCGGUGAAGAGAUUGCACCUGAGCUCUUCAAAGCAAUUCAACAAUCAUGGUGCUCACUAAUCGUUUUCUCGGAAAACUAUGUCUUUUCAGGUUGGUGCUUGGAGGAACUUGCUGAGAUUGUUAAACAGAAAAAGGAGAAUGGUCAUAAAGUAUUUCCAAUUUUCUAUGAUGUGGAUCCAUCUGAUUCAAGAAAACAAAAAGAGAAAGUUGAAGCAGCUUUUGCAAAACAUGAAGAGAGAUACAAGGAAGAUGAAGCAAAGAUCCAAAGGUGGAGAAAUGCUUUAACUGAAGUGGCUAAUAUCAAGGGAUGGCACUCAAAUUAUAGGUAUUUUUUUCUUCAUUUUACUUGUAAAUUUAAUAAUUACAAUUUUUUUUUGAAUUAGCUGUUUUUUAUAUAUAUCGACAAAAUCGGAAAAUUGUUAUUUUCUAGUGUUAUAAGGCAAAUAAGGCAAUAACACCAGAAAAACUAUAAACUCAAGUCCUCCAAGUGUAUCCUAAAUUUGUUCCAUAGAGUACUAUGCGUUUCACAUCUUAAUUUUUUCCUAGAUCAUUUAACUUCAUUUCCAUACCAAUAAUUUUCUUAAUUAAAAAUUAAAUCUUUUUAUCUUUGUAGGCAUGAAUCAGAAUUUAUUGGAGACAUUAUUAAAAAAAUAUCAGCAAAGUUAUGUCAAACAUAUCCAAUUGAGCAUGAUGAGUUAGUUGGUAUCAGUCCAAGCUUGGAUGAUUUGCAUUCGAAAAUAGAAAUUGGGGAAGAUGAUAUCCGUAUCAUGGGAAUUUGUGGUAUGGGUGGCAUUGGCAAAACAACCCUCGCAAGAGUUGUUUAUAGUCGCUUGUCACCUUAUUUUGAAGGGAAAAGCUUUCUUGCUGAUGUUCGAGAAGUUUCAGAGAAAUGUGGACUUGUUUCUUUACAGAAACAACUACUUUCCCAGAUCUUGUCUGAUGAAAGCUUCAAUUUUUUCAAUGUUCAUGAAGGGAAAACCAUAAUUAGUCAUAGGUUGUCUCACAAAAAAGUUCUUGUUGUUCUUGAUGAUGUUGAUAACCUACAACACUUGAAAUGCUUGGUUGGAAAGUGUAAUUGGUUCGGUUUAGGGAGCAGAAUCGUUGUAACAACAAGAGAUGAACAUUUGCUCCGAUCUUAUCGAGUUGAUGGUGUGUAUAAGCCUACAACACUGAAAGCCAUUGAUGCACUUCAUCUUUUCAAUUUGAAAGCUUUUGGUUGCAAGACAGCGCUAAAAGAGGAUUUCAUUGAGCUCGCUAAACAUAUCGUAGGUUAUGCUGGUGGACUCCCAUUAGCUCUUGAAGUUUUGGGUUCUUUUUUGUGUGAUAGAGAUGCAAGGCAAUGGAAAAGUACAUUAGAAAGACUUGAAAGAGUUUCUAACAAAGAAAUUCUUGACAGACUUCAAAUAAGUUUUGAUGGACUGGAAGAAAGGGAGAAGAAUAUAUUUCUAGAUAUAACAUGCUUCUUUAAUAGUGAGGAGAAAGAUUUUGUAAUGAAAGUAUUGGAUGGUUGUGAGUUUUUUUCCAAAUAUUGGAAUUAAUGUUCUUAUUAAAAAAUCUCUACUAACUAUUAACAGACACGACCAGUUGUUGAUGCAUGACUUGCUACAAGAAAUGGGAAGAAAAAUUGUUAGGGAAAAAUCUAUCGAUGAACCUGGAAAACGUUGCAGAUUGUGGGAGGAAAGAGAUGUAUAUCAUUUGCUAACAAAAACAACUGUAAGUAAUUCCAUAAAAAUUAUAUAUAUGUAGCUUAAUUUAUUCAAACAAUUAAUUUUAAGAUGUGGCAUUAAUUAGAUUUGAGGUUGAAUUUGAAACGAUUACAUCUUUGGUACAAAAACAUAUAUAUAAUCUAUUAUAUUUAGGAAGUAUUUAUUAUUAAUAUCGAUAAAGUAAAAUGAGUAGAUUUGUUGUUUAAAUUUUUAAAAUGUGUCAUUUAGAAAUUAUCUUGUUGAUUAUAAAUAUUAAUAAGACAUGCACGAUAUGUAUAAACAAAAAUGUAAUUUCAUUGAAUUACUUUAGUUGAAAAUGUUUUUUUAGCUUGUUUUUUUACUAUACAUGCAAUGAUAAUCAUAAAUGUAAACUUUACGAGCUUUUGUAAUAUUUGUACUUUUCAUUUUUUUUAGGCUACAGAAAUUAUUGAAGGUUUAAUCAUCGACAAUAAAAAGUAAGAUGACAUAUAUAUCUAUAUAUAAUUUUAAUGUUGUUGUUUUUUUUGUAAAAAUAAUUAAAAAGAAGUGGCAACUCUUUAAUGCUUAAUAUUUAAAAAAAAGUAAAAAAAAAAAGUAGUAUGAAUUAUUGAAAAAAAGAAUGUUGCAUUUAAUUGUAUCUAUUUUCUUGCAUUCUCUCUUUAGCCAAACACCUUUCUUGUUUCUAGCCUUCUGUGUCUGUAAAUAUCAGCUCCAAUUCUUUAAAGCUAUGUUAUUCAAAUUAGGAUAUAAGUGUUAUAUGUGAGUUGUAUUUGACAUGUGUAUAUUAAUUUUUCUUAACUUUUUCAUAUAUUUCAAAAGCCCUUGAAGGAUUAUAUCUUUAUAUCCACAUCUGAACAUACUUUAGAUGUAAGUGUUAGACAUGAGUAUUUCAAAAAAGAAGCAAUGAAGUGAUUAACGUUUUAGAGAUUAUGUUUUAUAUAGCUUUAUUCUUAUACUUGUUCUGUUGGAAAAUUUGGACAUUAUAUAUAUAAUAAGGAUAAUUACAUGUUAUUAUUUACUAUCAUGAUAAGUUAGACCAAAUUAAAAGUGAUCUAAUUUGGUUAGAAUUUUAUUGGGCUUUUAAUUAUUAAAUAAAGUAUGGGUCAAACAUGUGUAGAUACUCUUCUAAUCAAAUUCUAAUUAAUGAUGGGUUAAUUAGAAUUUGAUUAGAACUAAUAUGCUAAGGUUAUAAAUAUUAGGGUUAUGGUCCCCAAAUUAUACACAAGACAUCUUUUCUAAUAUCCCAUCAUUAGGAAAGAGAGAGCAGAUAUUCUCUGAAUUUCUUGUGUGCUAAUUUGGAAGAUCAAAUCCCCAAAGUUUCAAAAAGUCGAUCUCAAGGAAUCCAUGGAUUCAGAUACGCUUCCGCAUCUUGUUUUGUUCUUAAUUUAUUCUUGAUGAUUUGACAUGACAGAUCCUAGUUUAUUAAGUUUUAUUUUAGAUUUAUUUUAAUAAAAUCUAACAAGUGGUAUCAGAGCUUUGUCAUGUUGAAUCAUUGGGAAUGAAUUGAUUCUUUAUUAAUUUUGGAUUGAUUCUUUUUUUUUUAGUUUUAUGGAUUUGAUAUUUUAAUUAUAUAUUAUGUUGAAUCUUUGAGAUUCUUGAUAAAUUUUUAGGUUUUGAUUCUUUAAAUAAAGUUUUAAAGUUUUAUAAAUAAAAUCUAGUUUAAUAUUUGCAUAUGUUAUUCGAAAGAUGAAGGUUUAUAUAUUUAUUUAUAAUCAAUUGAUAAAAAUUGAUUUGUGAGAUUUCUUUCUCUCUUUUUUUCACACAAUUAUUUUAUAAGUUUUGGUAAAGUCAUUAUUAAAUUGAAAUUACAGACUUACAACUUUUUUGCAAUUGGAGAAUUCCAAUUGGGUUGUAUAAUUAGCUUUGAAAGUUAUUCACUUGAUAAGAUAUAUUUUUUUCGUACUAUUUGUUUUAAAUUUUCUGUUUGUAGUUGAAUAUAUAUGAAAUCAUCAUCUUUUAUCUUUAUUUAUGAUGAAUUAUAUUCACCAUUCAUAUAUACAAAUGAUUACUUUUAGUUUCUUUUAUAAUUAUUUUAUGUAAGUUUUAGUCUUUAUGGAAUCUAACUAAAAUUAAAAUAUUUGGGAUUAUUUUUUUUAAAUAUGGUGGCUAUGAAUUUUCAUAAGUAGUUGCGCAUAUAAAGAAUUUUAUAUGAUUUGGGAUUCUUUUUGUAUUUUGUGGUUAUGAAUUUUUUUUAAAGUAUUUGUGAGUAUAAAGAAGUUUUAUAAUAAUGUUUUUAGUCAUGAAUAUAAAUUUGAGUUUACAUCAAAUAUGUAAGGCAAGCCAAUAUUAUUUUUAUAUUUGUGUGUGUAUAUAUAUUAUAUGCAUAUCAAUGAUUUUGAGGAUUAAUGCAUGAUUAUAGUUUGUGUAAACAGACGUUUAUAACCAUUAUUCAAUAAGAUAUAUUUUACAGUUUAAUUGGUGAAAUUAAGUUUUGAUGGAUAUCAUUGAAGUUAAUUUUUUUGUUAUGGUUAUAUAUUAAAUUUUAUGGGUGCUUUGGUGCAAAUUCAUGUCAACUAUAUACAUAUUUAAAUAUUUUGGUUUUAAAUUUGGUUAUAUAAUUUUAGGUUUUGGCAUAUUAUGGUUCCAAAUAUUUGGUUAAAUUAUGAUGAUAUGAUUUAUUGUAUGAAUUGUGGGAUAUGCCAACUAUUAUGAUUUUGUUUUUUGAGAUUUAUUGGCUUGAAAAUAUUUUUCAAGUAUUUAUGUGAAUAUCUAUUUAAUCAUAAAUACAACUUUGGAUUUACAUGGUAAAUUCAGGGUAAGUUUUUCUAUUUGAUUAUGAAUACAUGUAUAUGCGUGAAUUGUUUUGGUGUUUUUAUCCAUGCCAAAAUUAUGAAUACAUGUGCUUGUUAAUUAUUUGGCUUUGAACCACUACAUUAUUUCUGUUUGGUUUUGAUAUAUGAUUUUGGAACAAAAAAAGAAGAAGGAAAUAGUCAAAAAAAUUAAGGUUUUCGGUUUUUUUAUUGCAUUAUUAAGACAAACUUAUUUAGGGUUAUUUCAGAGUUUAUAAAGCAAUAAAAAAAAUUAGUUUUGACAUUUGACUAUUGGGGAAAUUUAAAUUUGAAUAUUGGUAUGUUUAUAUAUAUUUUAAAAUAACUUAAUUGAAGCAAAAAGUCACCAAAGUGAUUUUUUUGUAUAAAUUAUUUUGUUUUAAAAUAUAAAAGUUUGUGUGCAUGUAACUUAAGUUAUGUUAAUAUUGAUUGGCCCAAGUGAAGGUUAAUCAUAUUACAUGUGCAACUAUGGUGAUAAACAUGUGACGGUUAUUCGAUUUUACAUGUGAGUAAUAAAUUGGCCCAAAGGAAGAUUUAUUAUUCGACAUGCUCUUAUUGUCAAUGUUUGAUUACUACACCAAGAUAUCACUUAUAAAUUAAUAUUUUGUCCAAAGAUGAAAUAUUAAUAGAGUGUCCGAUAUCUUAAAAUGACGUUUACCUUUAUUCAAAUUAUUUUGGUUUAAAUUUGAAGUCUUAUGUGAAGUUGUUUAUGGUUUAUGAUUUAUUCAACUAUUAUUAUAUUUUCCAACAUCAUUGUAUGUUGUUUUGGGAUAAAUAUAUAUAUAUAUCUUUUAAUUUGAUUGAAAGAUGAAAUUAAGGUAAAUAUUUUGAAACAAAUAAAUUCAGAUUUUGGCUUUUAAUUAAGGAUGUGUAAUAUAUUAAAUAAAUUAGUUGAAACAAAAUGCCACCAAAGUGACCUCUUUUGUGUAGAUUAGUUUAUUUGAAAUAUUAAGAUGAUUAUAUGUUUUUGUGAUUCAUGCGUUUAUUAAUUUACCCAAAGGUAAGUUAAUAUUUGGCAGAAUUACAACGACAUCUGUGGUGAUAAAUGUGUGACAAUUAUAAGGUAUUUUAUGUGAACAAUAAGUUAGUCCAAAGAUUAAUUCAUUGUUUAACAUAGUUUAUUGUCAAUGUUUGAUUGCUACAAUAAGAGUACCGCUUACUGUUAAUAUUACUGUCCAAAGACUUAAUAUUAAUGUUGUGUUUGGUAUCUUGAGAUGGGAUUAGCCAUUAUCCUGAAUUUAUUUUUUACUAUGAAUAUUGAUGUGAGCUUAUUUUUAUUUAUUUUUUGUUCUAUAUUCAGCUAAUUCAUAUUCUACUGCCACAAUAUCUGCUAAUAUAAAUUCUGUACCCAUACUUAAUGGGGCUAAUUUCAAUGAAUGGAAAAGGCACUUACUUAUAGUGCUUGGCUAUAUGAACAUAGACCUUACACUAAAGGAAGAACUACUCGCACCUCUCACUGCGGAAAGUAACCCCUAUGUUAAAAGGGAUUUUGAGAGGUGGAAUCGUUCAAAUUGCAUGAGUCUGAUGCUCAUGAAGCACAAUAUUUUAGAAGCCUUUAAGGGCAUAGAAUCUGAAAAGAUUACUCAAGCCAAGGUUUCCUUGAUGAAAUUGAGAAACGUUUUACUAAAAAACGAUAAGGUUGAAAUGGCAUCACUUAUGACUUCUUUGAUGUCUGUAAAGUUAAGGGUUAAGGAAAUUCUGAGCAAUCUAAGGGCUAUGAAUUUUAUGAUCCCACAAUUAGGAAUAUUUUUUGAGACAAGAAUUACAACAUUUUUUGAGGAUGUUGAGUUUGGAGGGAGAAAUAAGGUUAGAACAUUGCUUUUGAGGAGGAAUUGGAUUCUAACUCAGUUCCUACUAUCACUUUUGAUGAUGUUUAGACUCUCAUACCUAUCAUUGAUUAAGAAGUGAAUCUAGAACCUCAAUAAGACAAUGUUAAACAACUCCCUAUUCAAGAUGAGGUAAUUGUUCCAGAAGAACAAACUCAACAACCUUAAGAAUGAAUGUCAUUAGAAAGGUCCACUAGAGAAAGGGUUAAAAUGGCUUUAGUGGAAUAUUUUGACUUUAAGCUACAUCAAAUGAAUAUUAAGUUAAUGGUUUCUCAAUGGUAACAUUGAUCAUACAUUUAUAUGGUGCAAUUAGAAAACUUUGUGUCUGGUGAUACAAAAGUAAUGAUUUGCAAAUUAAAGAACUUUAUCUAUGGGCUUAAGUAGACUUCUCGUCAAUAAUAUACAAAAUUUACCAAAUGAUUAUCUCAUUCGGUUUAGAGAUGAAUUUUGUUGAUAAUCGUUUAUACCAUAAGUUUAGUGGGAGUAAAGUUUUAUAUUUGGUUUUAUAUGUUAAUGACAUAUUGCUUGUCAAUAAUAAGUAUAGCCUCAAUCAAUGCCCUAAGAAUGAUAUUAAGAUUACAAAAAUGCAUUAGAUUUUUUACAUUUUAGCAGUGGAAAGUUUAAUGUAUGUUCAGGUUUGUAUACAUUGGAAUCUUGUAUACACUAUUGGGAUGUUAGGCAGAUAUUUUAAGCAACCCUAGUUUGGACCAUUAGAUAGCAUCCAAGAGGGUUAUAAGGUAUUUUCAGAGAAUAAAAGAUUACAUGCUCACAUAUUGGAGGUCUAAUCAGAUAGAGAUCAUCAAGUAUAUAGACUCCGAUUUUGAUGGAAUAUGGAUAAAAGAUUUUGUCACUAAGGUGCAAAUUGUGAAAAUAAAUUGCAGUCUUUUAUUCCAAUAGCAACAGGAGCACAUUAAAGUCAAAACACAUAGACUUUAAGUUCCUGGUUGUUAAAGUAAAAGUUCAGAGUGGUUAAGUGCUUAUAAAGCAUAUUAGGACAAACUCCAUAAUUGCGGAUCCGCUUAUUAAGGAACUACACCUAAGGUUUUAUAAGAGCACAUUGCUCAUAUAGGUGUAAUGUCAUUUAAAGGAUAUUUGGUUUUAGUGGGAGUUUGUAUUUUUAAAUGCUUUUAUGUUAUAGACACAUUUUCAGUUAUUUCAGUUUAAAGAUAAUAAGUUUAUUUUCUGUAGAAAUAAAGUUUAUUUGGUUUAUUCACACUCUGAUUUUGGUAAGAUUUGAUCUCACUAAGGAGGACCAGUUGGAAAUAGACAUGUUUAGAUCAUAUUGCAAGUAAUUUCCAUGCUACACAUCCAUACUUGAUCUAUGUCAUUUGGUUGUGUUAAUAUACGUGAUCAUGGAUGGAUUUAGUUACGAUAUUUGUAACGAAAGUCGCCUUGGUUCUAUGUUAACAUAAUUAAUGGACGAGAUUGUACGGAAUGCCUUUUGGAUAUGAUAGUAAAACUUUGAGCUCAUAAGGUUAUAUAAUGACAUGUAAUUAUAAAGUAAUUAGUAUAUAUAUGUGGUCCAAGUGGGAGAUUGUUGGAAAAUUUCGAUAUCACAUAUAUAAUAAGGAUAAUUACAUGUUAUUAUUUAAUAUCAUGAUAGGUUAGCCCAAAUUAAAAGUGAUCUAAUUUGGUUAGAAUUUUAUUGGGCUUUUAAUUAUUAAAUAAAGUAUGGGUCAAACAUGUGUAGAUACCCUUCUAAUCAAAUUCUACUUAAUGAUGGGCUAAUUAGAAUUUGAUUAGAACUAAUAUGCUAAGGUUAUAAAUAUUAGAGUUAUGGUCCCCAAAUUAUACACAAGACAUCUUUUCUAAUAUCCCAUCAUUAGGAAAGAGAGAGCAGAUAUUCUCUGAAUUUCUUGUGUGCUAAUUUGGAAGAUCAAAUCCCCAAAGUUCCAAAAAGUCUCAAGGAAUCCAUGGAUUCAGGUACGCUUCCGCAUCUAGUUUUAUUCUUAAUUUAUUCUUGAUGAUUUGACAUGACAGAUCCUAGUUUAUUAAGUUUUAUUUUAGAUUUAUUUUAAUAAAAUCUAACAUGUUCGCCCAGGGAAUUGAACAAGACUCUUACUUUGAAUGGGGAUAUUUUCUUGAAGAUGAAAAGAUUAAGAUUGCUCAAAGUCCAUUGUCUUCCAAAUUGUUGUGAUCUCACCUACCUUUCUAAUGAGUUACGACUUUUAGAAUGGUCAGGAUAUUCUUUAAGAUCUCUGCCUUUAGGCUUCCAACCGGAAAAUCUUGUUGUACUUCUCUUGCCUUAUAGCAAUAUUGAACAAUUGUGGAAGGAAAAUACAGUAAGAAUUAACUCAUUUUGUCUUUGUUUUCUAAUUCGAGAAGAAGGUAUUAAUAUAGAAGAAUAAAAAUGAAAAUAAGCUUCACCAUAUUUUUUCUCCUUUUAUCUCUAAUUUAUUAUUGUUUUCAACAGCCCCUGUAUAAGUUGAAAGUGCUCAACCUCAAAGGGUCGGGAAACCUGAUCAAGGCACCAGACGUUAUAACUGCCCCAAAUCUUGAAAUUUUGGUUUUGGAAGGUUGUACUAGAUUAGUAUAUGUCCAUCCAUCUGUUGGAGUUCUUACAAGGCUUAAGCUUUUGAAUUUAGGAGGCUGCAAAAGUCUGAGGAGUUUUCCAACCAGAAUUAGAAUGGAAUCCCUUGAAAUGUUAACUCUUUUAGGUUGCUCAAAACUUCAAAGCUUUCCAGAAAUUGAUGGGAAAAUGGAAUGUUUGUUGGAGGUUUGUUUUGAUGGGACAAACAUUAAAGAGCUACCUUCUUCAAUCGAAAAUCUCAGAAGACUUGAAGUUUUGAAUUUAAAAGACUGUAAAAGUCUAAGGAGUUUUCCAACCAAAAUUGGAAUGGAAUCUCUUGAAAAGUUAAUUCUUUCAGGUUGUUCCAAUCUUAAAAGGUUUCCAGAGAUUGAUGGCAAAAUGGAAUGCCUGCAAGAGCUUUAUUUAGAUGGGACGGGCAUUAAAGAGCUACCUAUUUCAAUUGGAAAUCUGAGCAGUCUUGUUUUGUUAAAUUUGAAAGAUUGCAUGAACCUUGUGGAUCUGCCCGGUAGCAUAGGUGAGUGUAAAAGUUUAAAAUCUCUUAAUCUUUCUGGUUGUUAUAAAGUUGAAUAUUUGUGAUAUAGAUCUUUUCAUUGGAAAACAAUAUCAACGGAGGAAUAGGAAUUAGAAUUCUACAUUUAUUUAAUUUCUUUAGGAGUUUUAGUUUUACUAGGUUUUUUAUUUCCUUAUAAACUUUAAAUUAGGAAUUCUAUUAGGACUUUAAAUUAGGAAUUAAAUUAGGAUUUUCCUUUGUAAUUAACAGCCUAUAAAAAGGUUGCCAAUAUGAAAAAAAAGGGGGGUUAUUUUUUAUCACAAACGUUAGUUUGGGAAGGGGGUUCAGUCAAAGAUGAAUCUGCCUUUGAGUAACCAUAGGUCGAAGCAAGGAUACUUUCUCGUCUAGACCUGUGACUAGAUCUUACGCCAAGGCGCAUAAAAACUUGGUAUCAGAGCCAGUUGUCAUGGGUGACGAAAAAACUUUGACAGCCAAGCUGGAGGCAUUUAUGGAACAAAUGGCUACAAGGCAACAAGUAUUAGAGGAGCAGAUGGCGAUUUUAUCUCUUUCGGUCCAAAAGACAACGAAAGAGAAUUUAGAAAAAAAUAAUGAAGAACAAGGCAGCAGUGGAGGCAAGAAAAGAAAUUCAGAUUCACAACACGGUGGGGGCAUGGUGCCAAGAUACUCCAAGAUGGAAUUUCCCACUUAUGAUGGUGUUGGUGACCCUUUAGGAUGGUUAAAAAGAUGUGAAAUUUUUUUUAACAAUCAGCGAACCAACGAAGAAGACAAAGUCGGCUUAGCUUCAUUCCAUCUCUUAGGAGAAGCACAAUUGUGGUUUGAUCAAAUCGAGGAAGAGGAGGCAAAUUUGGAUUGGGAGCGUUUUAGAGAGUGUUGUCAUGUCAGGUUUGGGCCACCUAUGAGUAAUAACCCCUUGGGGGAACUUGCAAACUUAAGACAAACUGGGACGGUAGAAGAAUAUCAACGUCAAUUUCAAUCACUACUGGCUAGGACUACUGAUCUUAAACCUCGACAACAAGUAAACCUUUUUACUGCCGGAUUAGUAGAGGAACUUAGAAUUGAUAUUGAGAUGCAACAACCGGGAAACCUUGGAGUUGCAAUGAAUAUGGCUCGAGCUUUGGAACGGAAACAAAAAGUCUCUUCCAAGAUGUUAUCUCAAACCAAUCUAAACUGGUCAGCUUCCCAAAACACUGGCAGCAAUUCCAUUAUUCCAACAACUAAGAGCUUUGCAAAGGGAGGAGGACAAACAACGAAACCAAUGGGGAAUAACAGCAAAAUAGGUUCUUCCACACCAUUUAUCAAAAGAUUGACACGAGUAGAGAUGGCGGAGAGAAAGGCUAAGGGAUUGUGUUAUAAUUGUGACGAGUCUUACUCCAUGGGGCACAAAUGUAAAAGGCUAUUUUGGAUAGAAGUACCAGAUAUUGAAGAUGAGCAAGAUAAUGAGGUAGAUGAUCUUGAAAUUUCCUUACAUGCCAUUAGAGGAACUUGCAAUUCAACUACUAUGCAACUACCAGCAAAGGUGUCAGGAAAAACAGUGUUAGUUCUCGUUGAUUCAGGCAGUACACAUAACUUUCUACGCGAAGGUCUAGUGCCAAAAUUGGGACUGAAAAUACAAAAGAAAAGGGGGUUACAAGUAUGUGUGGCAAACGGAGAACGGGUUCCUAGCAUUGGCAUUUGUAAAUCAGUACAGUUCGUUGUGGCCAAUGACAACUUUCAAGCUAAUUUUUAUACAAUACCAUUAGAAGGGUUUGAUAUGAUUCUGGGGGUUAAAUGGUUGUGUACCCUUGGUCCAAUUUUAUGGGAUUUCAGCUCCUUCAUUAUGCAAUUUGCAGUAAACAAGAAGAAGAUACUCUGGCAAGGGCAGCACCCAGAGGAAGUUCCACAACUCAGCUUGAUACAGGGACAGGAUUUAACUAAUAUAGUAUUAAAUAAGCUACUGGUAGAAUUUGCGCAUUUAUUCCAAGAACCAUCUGGGUUACCUCCUAACUGCAAAUGUAACCAUCGUAUAACUCUCAAACCAGGAACGAGACCAAUUGUAGUCAGGCCUUAUCGAUAUCCACAUUUUUAAAAGGAUGAGAUUGAGAAGCAGUGUGACCAAAUGUUACAACAAGGAAUCAUUCGACCCAGUAGAUCACCAUUCUCUUCUCCAGUACUAUUAGUAAAGAAGCAUGAUGGGUCAUGGCAUUUUUGCAUCGAUUAUCGAGAGCUUAAUGCUUGCACUGUUAAAGACAAAUAUUCGAUUCCUGUCGUGGAUGAAUUGUUGGACAAACUUCAUGGGGCAAAAUAUUUUACAAAAUUGGAUUUACGAUCGGGAUAUUUUCAAAUUAGAAUGGCAACUAUUGAUGUGGAAAAGACAGCCUUCCGAACCCACCAUAGACACUUUGAGUUUCUUGUCAUGUCAUUCGGGCUUACCAAUGCCCCUUCCACAUUUCAGAGUUUGAUGAAUGACAUUUUUCGCCCUUACUUGCGUAAGUUUGUUUUAGUCUUCUUUGAUGACAUAUUAAUUUAUAGCAAAACAUGGACUGAACAUAUGCAUCAUGUAAGAUUAGUUUUUGAACUCUUGCGGGAUAAUAUGUUGUUCUUAAAGAAAUCCAAGUGUUUCUUUGGAGAGUCUCAGGUAACCUACCUCGGUCAUGUCAUCCAUGGUGAAGGGGUCGAGGUUGAUCACACUAAAAUUAAAGAUGUCACCGAUUGGCCAACUCCUAAAACUACCAAGGCUCUACGAGGCUUUCUUGGGUUGGCAGGAUAUUACAGAAAAUUCAUCAAGAAUUAUGGACAAGUGGCUACACCCUUAACAUCUCUUCUAAAGAAAAAUGCCUUCAACUGGACUAUGGAAGCUGAUGUUGCUUUCACCCAAUUAAAAAUUUCUCUUUCAGCAGCCCCAGUUUUGCAAUUACCCAACUUUACGGAGGAAUCUGUGGUUGAAUGUGAUGCUUCGGACAGCGGGUUUGGAGCUGUACUAUAGCAAAAGGGACACCCCAUUUCCUUUUUUAGUUGCAAGAUUGCAGAUCGACACCUUAAGUUGGCUGCCUACGAACGUGAAUUAAUUGGUUUGGCAAAGGUAGUGACUCAUUGGCGACCCUAUCUUUGGGGAAGGCAUUUCCUCAUCCGUACUGAUCACUUUAGUCUUAAGUAUUUGUUAGACCAACGACUUACGACAUCUCCACAACAACAUUGGAUCAGCAAGCUAAUAGGGUUUGAUUUUCGAGUAGAAUAUAAAGCAGGGAAGUUGAACAGGGCUGUAGAUGCUUUAUCUAGAAAAGACGAAGACUUACCACACCUCAUGACUGUUUCAUUCCCUCAAGUUGAAAUUCUUAAAGCCAUCAGAUGAGAAAUAGAAGCUUCCACAGAAUUAUCACAACUCCAGCAAAGAAUUCUAGAAGGAGAGUUAGGGCCCGAUUGGGUUGCACAAGAUGGGUUGAUUUUCUUCAAAGGGAGGUUGUACUUUUUACCUACCUCACCAAUUAUUCCCACUCUUAUCUCCUCUAUAAAUGCUAUGGCACAUGAAGGGGAAUUGAAAACAUUGCAUCGUCUUCGCCAAGAUUUUUUUUGGAAAGGAAUGAAGCUUGCAACCUCAGAAUUUGUGCAACAUUGUUUAGUAUGCCAACGCCACAAAUGGCAAAAUUUACAGCCCGCAGGUUUACUUCAACCUCUUCCAAUACCACAACAUGUUUGGGCUGAUAUUUCUAUGGAUUUCGUGGAGGGUCUACCCAAAGUAAAAGGGAAAUCGGUACUUAUGGUGGUUGUGGACAGACUGUCGAAGUACGCUCAUUUUUUACCUUCGUCCCAUCCAUUUACUGCUAUAUCUGUUGCUACCGUCUUUUUUGCAGAGGUAUUCCGACUUCAUGGCUUGCCUGAAUCCAUGUUUCAGACCGUGAUAAAGUUUUCCUCAGCCUGUUUUGGAAGGAAUUAUUUCGUCAAAGUGGUUCUAAGCUCGCUUUUUCCUCAGCAUACCAUCCCCAAUCUGAUGGUCAGACAGAGGUAGUUAACCGAACAAUAGAAAUGUACCUACGAUGCCUCUCUAGUGAUCGUCCACGACAGUGGGUCGAUUGGGUUCCAUGGGCUGAGUAUUGCUACAACACCUCAUAUCACACUGCCCUAAAGGCCACUCCCUUCCAAUUAGUAUACGGUAGGGAUCCACCUCGACUUCUCUCCUAUUCAGCUGGUUCUACAAGGAUUGAAGCUGUGGAUAAGGCUCUACAAGAUAGGGAUGCACUUUUACACAAUGCUCGGGAUAGACUCUAGCAAGCUCAGCAACGAAUGAAAGCCACUUAUGAUUUGAGGCACAGAGAGUUGAAUUUUAAAGUCGGGGAUUGGGUUUGGUUACGGCUUCAAUAGUAUCAACAAUUGACGAUAACUAAAUAGAAGCAUCACAAGUUAUUGCCAAAAUAUUUUGGUCAUUUUAAAGUCUUGAACAAAAUAGGAUCAGUGGCCUAUCAGCUUGAAUUACCUACAGGCAGCAGAAUACAUGAUGUAUUUCAUGUUUCUUUCCUCAAAGAAUACAAGGGUCCUCAACCAGAUGCGGUAGGAGACUUGCCCUUAGUAUAUGAUGGCAAGGCCUUGCCUACUCCACAAGCUAUUAUUAAUACCAGGCUUAAUCGAGGUCGGCGGGAACUAUUAGUGCAAUGGGCAGGAUGCCCUCAAGAAGAUGCCACUUGGGAACCAAUUGAUAAUUUUCGAGCAGCUUAUCCUGAAUUUGAGCUUGAGGACAAGCUCAACUCCGAGAGGGGGAGUAAUGAUAUAGAUGUUUUCAUUGGAAAACAAUAUCAACGGAGGAAUAGAAAUUAGAAUUCUACAUUUAUUUAAUUUCUUUAGGAGUUUUAGUUUUACUAGGUUUUUUAUUUCCUUAUAAAAUUUAAAUUAGGAAUUCUAUUAGGACUUUAAAUUAGGAAUUAGAUUAGGAUUUUCCUUUGUAAUUAACAGCCUAUAAAAAGGCUGCCAAUAUGAAAUAAAAGGGGGGUUUAUUUUUUAUCACAAACGUUAGUUUGGGAAGGGGGUUCAGUCAAAGACGAAUCUGCCUUUGAGUAACCAUAGGUCGAAGCAAGGAUACUUUCUCGUCUAGACCUGUGACUAGAUCUUACGCCAAGGCGCAUAAUAAUUUGCCAGAGAAUUUGCAGCAAAUAGAAUUCUUGGAGGAGCUUGACUUAAGUGAAAGAUCCAUGACAAAACCACCAGUCUUCAUUUUUCAAUUUAAAAACCUUAAAGUUCUUUCUUUUAAUGGGAGAAAGGGACCUCCUUCCAAGUUACAAAAAUAUCUACCUUCUCUGUUAAAGGUAAUCCAAAAAGGAAGGACAAAUUUCAUGGCUCCGAUGUUGCCUUCGUUGUUAGGUUUGAGUUCAUUAAGAAGGCUGAAUCUAAGGGACUGCAAUUUUUGUGAAGGAGAUAUUCCUAGUGAUAUUUGACGCCUAUCCUCUUUGAUAGACCUUGAUCUUGGUGGUAACAACUUCAUCAGCAUACCUUCGUGUCUUAUUCAAUUUUCCAAGCUUGAAUCUCUUAGAUUGUAAGAUUGCAGGGAGCUUAAAUCGUUGCCUGAGCUUGUAACUAGAAUAAAUUUUGUACACAUAAAUAGUUGUGCUUCUCUGGAAAUAGUUGCAAAUCCAUCAAAAGUUUGCAAUUCAAAUUAUUGGUCAAGUUAUUGGUCAGAUAUAGUAGGUGUUAAUUGCUUCAGAUUGGCUGAGAACAUCGGUGCCUUAACAUUGCUGAAAAAACAUCUAAAGGUUCGUUAAUAUCUCUGUUUCUCUGUGUCUUAUAAUUAUUCAUAGUGUUAAUUACCAAACAAGCGAAGUUUUAUUUUGCAGGUUUUUGGAAAUUCAAGAGAAAUGUUUGAUGUUAUUCUACCUGGAAGUGAAAUCCCAGAAUGGUUUAGUCAACAAAGAGGUGAGUCUUGGUUUAAGAUAAAUUUGCCUCUGGAAGUUCGGAAUGAUAGUCAAUGGAUGGGAGUUGCUUUGUGCUGCAUUUUUGUCAGUGAUGAUGCUUCAAGGGAUGAGUAUCUCAUGUGUAGAGCUGCUAUCCAUGGUAGAUAUUCUAGACAAGGCAAUUGCACUCAAUCUAAUUUCCAGGGUAGAAAUCCUCGAGUAGUCAAUUGUAGUGGCUGGCGUGUAAAUGAUGAUUUUGACUCGCCCGUACUGAAGGACCACAUUUUAAUUCGUUAUUUGUCGCGUGACGAGUUGUAUCCAAUUUCCUUGGAAGACAAAUGGGGUGAACGAGAAACCAAUAAUUUACUGACAACAAAUUGCUUAGAUCCGGGAUGCCAUCAACUUGAGCUGUCUUUCGAAAGACAUAACAGUGUUAAGGUGAAGAAGUGAGGUGUUAGAAUAGUGUAUGAGAGAGAUCUGGAAGAGAUGGAACAAAUACAAGAGCUGCAUAAUAAUCAGUGUUGUGCAAAUUUUGAAGAUAUCCAGCAACACUCUACUGAUGAUGGAUCAAUAGGUAACAGUUCCCUAAUAAAGCGAAAACGUAAUAUGUAUGAGGAGAUGGAUGAAGGGCCGCAACCAAAACGAAUGCAAAAAAAUUUCAGUUCUAUAAUGGGCAGACUUGGGAAGAAGCACUAAUUGUGGUAAACUAUUUCUUUGGCCUUGUCCUAUUAAUUUUUUUUAUGACUUUUUUUUUAUUUACAGUUUCUUUUAUUUCAUUUAAAGUAUUCAUUUUCCAUAUAUUUACUCUGCAAUAAAUGAGAUAUAAUCUUUCAAAUAUAUAUAAUUAAGUUAAAAAUUCUAAACAUAUACAUGUUAAACAUGAACUUGUAUUCUAUGCCUAUCCCAAAUUUGGAUAAUAUUUUCUUUUUAUAACAUUCAAUAUUUUAUUCAUUUUUAUAUAAUUUGAUUAUAUGAUCGCAGAUUGAAGAAAUAUAAUCGGCUGUAAAUAAAAUGUGGAGGAAGUUUUGAUUGCUUCAUGAAGCAACUAAUAAGUAAGGUGCGAAUCCUUUGUCAAUGUUUAGGUUAUAAUCAUCCUAAAUUGUUGUUUCAUUUUUGUUCGAAAUUGUUAGACUUCAAGUUAUGUGUUAAAUGUGAUAUGUGUCUAGUUUAAUCUUUUAAAAUUGUUUUUAUAUAUUUGAGUAAAAAAUUAUAUUUUUUUACUUCUAAAAAACUCUAUUUUUUCUCCAAAUCAUUUGCUUCUUUUUGUUUUUGCCUAGCUGUGGUUUUAGCCUCCGGGCUAAUUACAGCCCGCCUUUUUCUCUUACCCAUCAACUCUUUUAUCUUUCUUCUUCUGAUUCACUCUAUACAUUAUCUCUUUUAAGUGUACAGAUUUAUUUUGUAGGAUCUUUGUUGUCUUCACAAGAUGUGAUGGAUAGAUGACGGUGCUUAUCAUUAUUAAAACACCACUGACCACCGAUAGUUUCUUUUAGAAAGCGGGUAGCUUGUCAUUGGCUUCUUAAUCUGUUUCUGUUUUGAGAGUUUCAGAAUAAUAAAUGAUUUUAUAAGUCAUCUUGGACUCGUGUUAUCUUAAGUUUUAUAUAUUUUUUGUUUGUUUUUCCAUUGUUUAAUAAGUCUUUCACUUUUAGAAGUUUCUAUCUACUUUUGUAAUACGUUUUUUAGUCUUGCUUAUACAUGUAGUCUUGCUUUUGCGAGUAAUUUUAAGGUUGGUUUUGUCGUCGUUUCCUCUCUAGUUUGGUGGAUGCUCGGUUCUUUUGCCAAUUUAUGUCCGCCGCUUUGGACCAUCCAGGGUUGAUUUCCUUAUUGUAUUAAGUACUUGAAUCAAUUCUAAUAUAUUGUGCUUGAUUUAUGACAGAGCCGAGUGCCAACAUGCCAUAAUGUUAUAUUGAUGUUAAAGUUGAAGCUUUUGUUAUAUUGAUAGAGCUUGUCCUUCAGUGCGUACAACCGAUGUUUUUUUUUCGAAUUGUAUGGUAUUAUAUUGAAUGAAUUAAUGAAUUUCUCUUCAAAAAAAUUAUUUUUAUAUAUUUAAAAUAUUAAAUAAAAAUAAUAUAGAAAAAAUAUUAAUUUAGUCCUGAACGUUUACAUUUUUUAUCAUUUUACCUCUUAAAUUUGACUCUCAACUUUAAAAAAAGAAGGUCAAAUUUGACCAUCAACUUUUUAAUAUAGGUGAAAUGAUUUUUUGUAAUGAGAAUACUAACUAAAAUAUUAAAUUUUUAAACACAACAACCUGCAUGCGAUUCACAUGUACUCCAAGUUAGAUAAAAUAAUUAAAAUAAAUAAUUAAGAUAAUUUAAAUAGAAUAAUAAAUCUACAAUUAGAACAAUAAGGACUAAAUUAAAGAAGAUAGAUAGAAAAAUAGAAUGUGAUAUGUAGAAGUCUUAAAAAACCUUAGAAACACGAAGAAUCCACAAUCUCCUUCAAGCGACUCCAAUUUAAUCUUAGUAAAACUCUUAAGUAUGUUAGAACCCAAUAUGAUUUAAACUCGAAUUAAAAGCUCGAAACUCGUAAUUUCUGUCACAAUCCCGUUUAGAAAUUCUGCUCAUGCGAUCUUCACUAAAACAGUCAUAAAUUGAGCUCCUGAGCUCAAAAUCGAGUGAUGCAAAAUGUAUUUCGAAGCUAAGAGAUAGAUCUUCAAACGCCAUGGACAUCUCAACUAAAAAAUGCUAAGAUCUCAUCCAAAAAGUCGUCGCAAGUCUACUGAUUUCCCAAGCUUAAAAAUUGACAACUUCGGUGAAUUUCACCCCAUCCGUGCAUAUAUCAUACAUCUUCUUGGAUAUUGAACAAAGCCCUCCAGAGAAACGAGCAAUUAGAAGGAUGUAUAGAAGAAGACCAUUUACUUAUUACCCCAUACUUGUUUCGAAAGACUUCUAACCCAUAGCACAUUCAUGUUAGAAAUGACAUUAAAAGUUACUUUAAGCAUGAAGGCUUUAUUGAGGUCUCGUACUUCCCUUAACCCAAGUCCACCAUUCUUCAAAGGCAUGCAACAUUUAUCACAACUCACUAAAGUUGGUUUUUGGUUACCAAAUGUUGACUCCCAAAUGAAUCCUUGAACCUGCUUCUCAAUUUUGUUGCAAUUGUCUUGGUGAUCACCUUAAACAAUACCAUAUGGAGAUUGAUCGAUUUAUAAUGAUAUAGCAAUUCCAAUCCAACCACCUUGGGCACCAACGCAACAAGAGUUUGAUUCAAAUCCAAAGGAAUUGCGUCACCUUCAAAGCAUUUUGGAAUCAAGCAACAAAUUUGAUCAUUAAACAAAACUCCAUUGAGAUUGACAAAAGCAAGAAUUGGGUCACCUUCAAACCACUUUUGAAUCAAGCAACAAAUUUGAUCCUUAAACAAAACUCCAUUGAGAUUGACAAAAGCGAGCAUGGAAAUCAUCAACAUCAGGAGCCUUCAACGGCGCCAUAUUAAACAAAGCUUUCCUUACCUCUUUCUUCAAAACUCUAUCAUCUAAAGCCACAAGUUCCUCAACUCUCAAAGCAGGAAAGCAAUUGGGUAAUGAAAACUCACCUGGGUACGUUGCAUGUACAAUGUAUAAUGUGCUCCUAUUGAUAUCGGAAUAAAGGAUCGCAAUCUAUUGUCACAUGUUGCAGUCUAGUGACAAAAUUUUGUAUCUAUAGACAAAUUUUUAACUCAUUAAAUAUCUUAUAUGCGAGCAUGUAAUAUUUUAGUUUUUCAAGAUAAUGUAUGAAUCAUUUUACUAUUUUCCCAUGGUCCAUACUCAAAAAUUUUCAAAUAUCUAUCCAACAUCUUAACAAUAUAUGUAAUAUUUUUACACAUAUAAACCUGAACAUACAUUCGAUUCCCCAUUGAUGAAGCAUAGUGAUAUUUUUCCAUUUCCUUAAUCUUAAAAUUAAUCUUGAGACAUUGAUCAAGAUUAAACUUGUCUCAUUUAAUGAUAUAAUUAUCACCUAAUCGACAAUCUUGUCAAAUCUCUUUAAUAUAUUUUGAGUAUAGUAUAGAAUAUAAGCAUGAAGGAGAAAAACAGAUCAAAUUUCUUGGGAACAACGAAGAGUUUUCUAAGCAAUUUCUCAAUACAUUUCCAACCAUUUCCUUUAUUUCCAAAUGAAAGCGGGUGGGUGUGGAAAUUGGGGGAUGAUAGAUGUUCUCUCCAGGAAGAAUCCAAGAAAGAGUUGACAAAAUGGAUCCUGCAAUAAUUUUAAGUAAUAAUUGAAGUGUUGGACGGUUUGUGUCUUACAAACCUUUUUUUUUUUUUUACAUUAUAAUAUUUACUUUAUAAAUUAUUAAG